rnacentral:lncRNA from 1 species
GAGAGAGAGAGAGAGAGAGAGAGGUGGUGCAUGAUGCAUGGAUUGUUGUGGGUUGACAUUGAGAAGGCUCACGUUUUCAUGCUGCGGGGGACCUCAAUAUUCGUGCCAGCAAAAUGGGGGAGCCAUAUGCAUAGAGAGAUAGAGGUGUAAAUACACUUGCAUGGACCCAAAGCCACGUAAAUAACAAAAUUAAUUAAACAAAGUUUUAAUUUCACCAGGACUCGUGCUUGAUAUAUAUAUAAUCCUCUGAUCAUGCAUAUAUUGAGGUCAUAAAUAUAUAUAUAUAUAUAUAUAUAUAUAGGGAUGUGGAGCCACACGUUGGAGUAGGAGUUAUAGUAAUUAAUUUGCUUGACCUUAGUUAAUCACAACACAACAUCUUUGGAAUUGGGGUUUUAAAAAAUAUAUAUAUUUAUAUACAUGAGUUAUGAUUUUUUGAGGUUUGGAUUUUGAUUCCAUUGACUUAAAUGAGUUUUAUUGUGCUUAGUGAUCAUAUUUGACUCUCGCAUUAUGUGUAAUAAUAACAACUUAAUUUCUUAGAGCACACCAUUAAAUUUAUUUUUUUAAUGUAUUAAUGUGAUUUCAAUGGUAUAUAUAUGAAUGAUCUGAUCAUGUAAAUGGAGAUAAUUAUUAGAACGGGUCUGAUCCGGAUCAUUUUACUGAAUCCAAACACAUUACUUAAUUAGCAGUACGUAAUCCAAAUCCGACCCAAACUAUAUAAUUAAUAUCUCAUUGGAGAAAACAAGCAAGGCAAAUGGAUAAAUCUUACUACAACUAGCUAGAGAGAAAAAUACUAAAAUAUAUUUGACACCUAAAAAUGUAUUUGAGUUUUAAACUUUUUUAAUUCAUUUCUUUCAAUUCCACUACUUUUUUAAAUAAGCAAUUCAGAUAAGAUUCAUACUCUUUUACCAUAUAACAGUAACUCCAAUAAAUACAAUGGUGCUACCGACCGUCCCUAGAGCAAGUGGCAAAGGGCUUGGUGGUUGGUACCCAAGACCCAAGUUCGAAUCCUAGUUGAUUCACAUUUCUAGUUAAGUUUAUUUCUAAAUGAAAUGAACGAAAUGGGUAGCGUGCUACCUAUUUCUAAAAAAAAAAAAAUACAAUGGUGAUGAACCAUAAGAUUCGUCAUAGUUUAGGUCUUACAUUUAGUAAUCUUAGUCGAUUUCGGAUCGGUUUAAAUAUUUGUUUUUUUUUUGUAGUAAUUUCAUUCAAUUUUGGAUCGGGUUGGCGGGUUUGCAAGUAAUUGAGACCAACACCCGUAAAAUAUGGUUGGAUGUGUUUUUAAAAUUAGUAGACAAAGACCGACCGUCCCUAGAGCAAGUGGCAAAAGGCUUAGUGAUUGAUAUCCGAGACCCAAGUUCGAAUCCUAGUUGAUUCACAUUUCUAGCUAAGUUUAUUUCUAAAUGAAAUAAAGAAGCGGGUAGCGUGCUAUCUAUCUCUCUCUCUCUCAAAAAAAAAAAAAAAAAAAAAAAAAAAAAAACAGUAGUAGACAAAGAAGAUCAAGUUGGGGCAGAAUUAAGAGCAAGCAGAGAUAUGAUUCUCUAUCUUUCAGUGAGACUGUAGAAAAUAUAUCGUAACCAACUCAUUACGAUGUACUGAACAUUAUUUUAUUACAUAUAGAAGCAAACGAACUAUUUUUGAACAGCAGAAAGUAUAUCCCAUUUAUCGUACAUUCUCAUCGCACAUAACUAAUAUGCCGGCCAUCCCAAACUGAGUCUUAGUGAGAUGCCGCUCACACCGUCACACGCGACGAAAAGUCGGCGAAAGAGAUGCCCAACUACAUAAGAAUUCGGCAAGGUAAGUGGCCUUUUAGAAGCCUAUGAGGUUAUUUUAUGUUAUUAUAAGAAAAUAAUUUUUUUUUUGAAAAAAAAAGAGAAAAAGUAAGUUUAAUUUAUGAACUUAGGUUGGGGUCUCAAUCCAUGCCAAAAUAGUCCACACAUAUAAAUACAUGUGCCAAACUUCGCCCUUUUUUUGUGGAAAGAGACACAACACCUUUUAAAAAUUGGUGUGCCUCUUUUUUUUUUUUUUUUGAGGGUGCAUUGUCAAAUGGAGGCAAUUUAAGGGCCUUAUAAUACUAAACUAAUAUUAUAAAUCUUGAAGAAAUAAAAUCAAGCAUUGUUAAUUAAUCUCUGUCUCCUUUUUUGAGGUUUUUAAUAGCUAUCAAUUUAGAUUUUUAUCCUUUAUUUUCAUUACAUUAAGAGGCUUAUGAACAGUUAAAAAGAAAUUAAGUGUUGUUAUUUCACCAUUCUUUACAGAAAAAAAGGAACCAUUUUGAUGGUGAGACGGUUUAAUCUAUUGUUAUUAUGUACACUAGUGCAGUAAUUCGUGUAAUGCAACCGGUAGAUAAUUAGAAAAAAAAAGAAAACGACGACAAAAAAAAGGAAAUAGCGAUGGAAGAAGCAACGAUAAAGGAUGGGAUAAUUAUCCUGCUGAUGAAGGAAGCUAACAGCCGAAGUAAGUAGGAGAGGAACAGUGCAGUCCAAUGCAGAGGUCUGACUCGAUUCGGUUCAAGCAAAAAAAGAGAAAAAUCCGGCUUGGUUUAAGCAAAGAAAGAAAAAAAAACAUGUAGAGAAUUUGAACCGUUUGGAAGAGCCUAUAUUCAACAAUGAUUGGUUCGGUCCAAAGUGACCGAGCUAGUUCGAAUGGAACAAUCUUACAUUUGGGAUGAAUCAACCAAAAUAACUAAAAUUUGGACCCUGCCAAUGUCAUUAUACCCGGCCUCUUUGAACCCGAUCCAAUAGCCCGGCCCAAUAAAAUGGACUGGAUUGGACCCGACCCUUGAAAAAUCAGAGUGUACUUAAGUUAAAUGGGAGAAAAUUAAAUGUUCCUCGACAUUUGUUAUAUAAUUUAAAAUGACCGCUUUUCUUCAAAAGUUUAAGCCGUCAAAGAACAAUAUUUUUAAUAUUUAUAUUCAAUACUAUAACCUUUUUUUUUUUUUUUACUCUCAUUAUUGGAUAAAUAACAUGUUUUUGAUGCGGAAUAUAUAGAGAAUGGAAAAUACUACUUGUACACUCCAUCCAGGGUGUAUAAGUUACAUCUUAUAUACCCAUCCAAUGGGUGGGGUGUUAACUACCGGUCACAUCAAGUUGCUGGUGAAAAUAUCUCAUCCAUUGGAUAGAUAAGGUGUAAGAUAUACACCCAAAAUAGAAUGCAGGUAUAUGUAACAUUGCUCCUAGAGAUUGGAGAGACAAAAUAAAAAAAAUGGUAGAGACACCACAAGCUAAUAUAAUUCUCAAGAAUAAGUGGCUUAAAAUGGACACCAUGCUCAUAAAUCAGUAAGAAACAAAUCAUGUUCACACCUUAAUAAUUUUGUGACAAAUACAAAAGAACAUGUUAGAACAAUUUCACAAAUUGUGUUAAAUAUAAAAAUGUUUAAAACACUGUUCUCUAACAGUUUAAGCUUUUAGAGUACAACGGUUGUUUCACAUGGUAUCAGAGAAAAAUAUUUAAAACAUUGUUCUCUAACGGCUUAAGCUUUUAGAGUACAACGGUUGUUUCACAAAUUGAAUUAUGUUUCAUACUUACGGAAAGUUUUAGAAAGCAUUAGCAUGUGGUUCAUGGUGGUGACCCAUUUCUUGUGCAAUUCAUAGUUUGGCGCCUUGAGCUCGAUCCUUCCCUUGUUCGUCGUAAUUUCGAUGAAAUAGGAUGCAUCCUUUUCGGUAUGAGGCGUUUCUGACGGGCUCGUGCGCACGUCGUAAAUGAUACCUGCAGUUGUUCAGUAAUCAGAUGAAACUUUGUUUUCGCGAACACGAAAUGGAGGAACUUGUAAUGUAGAAACUUUUGGCUUGCUUUUUGUUUUACUCGAAAAGGCCGUCAACAUGUUGGCCUUCUUGAUCUUCAGAACAAUCUUGCCAUCUUUGUUUAGGAUAGCCGAGACUGAUCGUAAUCGGCAUUUGCCUGAGAAGUACAGCAUGAAUGCAUGAUAUACAUAUUUGUAUGGUCAUGUUGUUUCAUCAAAGGCUUUUGCUAGCAAGAUUUCUAUUAUAGUUACCGUCCGGCGUCGCCACGAGGAUCUCAUCGCCCUUCGCUAGUGAUGCUCUACACCUUCCGAAGUUGAAGUCGAACUCAUCGCAUAAAAAGCUUGGUGCACUCCAUUUUAUCCUCGUGCCGUAACCCGGCCUUCCUCUUAGUGUUUGUGCACCUCUCAAUGCUGAAACAUCCGGAGAGAGUCGUUUUUAGUAAGUCUUACUUAUAGACCUCUUUUAGGCAUUAUGAAGAAGCGUCAUAUGCGUGGCACCUGCUUGGCGCAACUUGAGCUUCUGUAGAGCUGUUUGGAGAAGCAUUAGAUGGUUACGUUGACGCAAAAAGAGAAGCUUUAAAGUACAGCUUCCACUUUUGGUGAUAAAAGAAACUCAUUUCAGCUUAUCGCGACAGCAAAAGCUCUUGACUUUUUGUUCGCCAACUUUUGCUUCUUGAUGUUGCGAAGAUGCUCCAGAAGCUUGGCCAAACAGGCACACGUAGUGUUCGAGGAUAAUGAGAGAAUGAGGAAAAUACAUGUUACUGCUGCAGCAGUGAGUGUAAUGAUGCUGUUCGUGUCGGUGGAAGCCAUGGCAGCAUUUAAAGCAGAAGGCUGUUCCCGCUUUGCUCCGAUGGCUUCUGCUACUCGGCCGCAAUGUGCUGUGACUAGUGCAGCAGCAGAAGCCACAGCUGUUUCUGUCAGAGAAGCCGUUUCGCUCGCUUCGGUAUUCUCUGCUGCUAUAGCUGCAAGUGCUGCAGCAAGUUCUGCAAUAGAUACAGCUGCGUACACCUCGGCUUUCUGCAGCCUCUCCUCCUCUUUUCUUCUUUGCUUCUUUUCCUUCACCCACUUCUUCAGAUUGAUCCCUUUCGAAGGCUUAAUCCGUCGAGAGAUCUGCGAGAAAUACCCUUCUUUUUUUUAGUAACUACUGAUUUAUAAGCUCGACAUUGUGCACAUUUGCUUAUCGCGUUCAUUAAAUGUUCUUGCUUACACAUUUUUUUUGUUGAAAAUAGAUCUUUGUAAUUCUAAUUGUGUAACAGAGCAAACUUUGAUUCAGUGUGUUGUAAAUGAAGUUGAUUAGAGCUAAUCUAUAUAUAACAGCGCGAACUUGUUCUUGCUGUGGCCCUGAGAUGCAUUUGAAGUUGUUAAAAUUUCAAAUCCUAUAUAAAUUGUUGUAUAAGAUUUCAUGACAAACAACAAUGAACAUCAACAAGGAACUAUGAUCAACCGCUCGUUUGUAUUCGCACCGUACCGAUUCCUUACUUAGUCCAUGAUCAUCCUCCGAUUCUGGAUGAAUUGCAUUCUGAAGCCAUAUCCAUGACUGCAGAAACGAAAAAAAAAAAAUUCGUGUCAAUUCAACGGAGCCUAUCAUCGGAGUUCUUGAGUUUUUCAGAUCUCUUUUACUGUCAGAUCGUCGAACUUCCGCUGCUGCAUUGACUUCUCAUCGCCAACGUCGAUCUCCAACCUCUCGUUGCUCUUCUGCAAACUAGCAGAUUCUCAUUGCUUCUAUUUGUUCCAAUGAUAUAUAGUUAUUUCGAUUCAAACGUGUUGGAAAUAAUAAGCAGCGGAAACUUACAAACCGGAUAGCCAACGUAUCCGGGAACCGGAAUCGGAUCGGGUUGCUCAUUUUACAAGCCUUUUUGGAUCGUCNAUUCAAACGUGUUGGAAAUAAUAAGCAGCGGAAACUUACAAACCGGAUAGCCAACGUAUCCGGGAACCGGAAUCGGAUCGGGUUGCUCAUUUUACCCGCCAAUGUGGACACACCAUAUGUCAACAAUACGAAUCGGCACAAUGUGGACUACUUUAUCAGUUCACUCACUGACGAAGAACCUCUCGCAUUACUUUGGAACGCAGCGACCGCCUCUUCUAUCAGUAUCAUCGAACAAUCCUCUACGGUCGGCCGAAAGAUUCGAACUGCAGACGUGCACCGCGCAUUCGAAAGGACACCGAUCGACUCGAAGGAUUCUUUAGUGGCAAUUGUGUGUGUGUGUGUGUGUGUGUUUUUUUUUUUUUUAAUACAAUGAGAAAAAUAAUCAUCACUAUCAAAUAAGAUCCCAAUAAAUAAAAAAAAAAAAAAAAAAAAAAUUACGUGAGUAAAGAGGGCCUUCAUGGUCCUCAUAAAUUAAUCUCAUUAGUGUUGAUGGAGUAUUGCUGCAUCUUUGAAUGGAAUUAAAAGCUAUUCACAUUCAAAAUGUGGAUGCUUUUAUGUAUGAGAGGGAGAUCAUUAAAUUUAUGGUUUAUUUGUGUGUUCAUGGUGUGCAAAUAUUAGGAGAAUAUAACUCAUCUUAAUCAAAUGAGAAUUGUUGGAAUAUAUAUAACUCAUCUUAAUCAUUAAAUUAAUUGUUAUGGUUGGUAUCUUGGUGUGCUAUGCUUGUUAUUGUUGGGAGGAGAUGUUGGGGAGCCACUUUCUUAACACAGCUAGCAAUGGAAUUAGAAAAUUUAAGUGGUUAUUUAUAUGGUGUUAUGGAAUUUUCCCAAGAAUUAAUUCAUGUUAUAUAUAUGGGGAAAAAAAGGUUUAUAAUUUGGGGAAAGUUGACCAGGAAAUAUGCCCUAAUUAUUGGUCAUUAUUAUUAUUCAAUGAUGAAACUGAAAAUAUGUUCCAAGCUUUUUUCUUUCUUUUUUUUUUUUUCUAUUUUUAACUUAUUAACCUGGCAAUAUUUUUUUUUUUUUUUUUGUUUUUGAGAAUAAGAUAGCAUGCUACCUGCCUCAUUCAUCGAUCAUAAUAAAUUUAGCUACAUAUGUGAGGCAACUAGGUCUCUCAAGCAAAGCUGAAAAAUAAUAAUAAUAACAAUAAUAAUAACUUUUUUUGGAAAAUUUUUAUUGUUUGUUCAUUCAAUUGGAUGAUUAUGGCAUCAUAACUUUUGGAAAAUAAUUUUUGGCUCAAUAGGCUUGAUAUAUGGAAAAAUAAUUUGGAGUUAUUGGAGACCAAAAUUUUGAAUUAGAGUUUCAAUAUUUGAAGUUCAUUAGUCGAUUUAAAAACUGUAGAUUUUUUUUGUUUGUCAAAUAUCUAACUUCUGGUUAGCGAGUACAUUUGCGGCAUAACUUUUUGAGAUACCAAUUAUCACAAUGGAUCUAGGUGGGUUAGACUAGUGCUUGAGGGGCCUAAGCUAUAUUUAUACCUAACAGAGAAAUUAGAAACAACUUUUUGUGGGCCUUAACAAUUUGGCUCUUCAUGUGACAGGUACAUAAAAUGUUUGAAAAAUGCUCUCUGUGGACAAUGUAUGUAGGGUGUACAUUUGGCUUUUUAUGCUGAUAGGUGUAACGGUCGAACUCAGUAGCACUAAUAACCGGAUUUAAAUAUUCUGGACCGGUGAUUUUAGUUCUAAUGUGUAUGUUACAAAUAAGCACGUUAGUCUAAUUACAUACAUAGCCGAAGAUUAUCAAACGAUGUGAAUAUUAGCUCACACUUCUGACCAGUGACCAACUCUGAUACCAACUAUAAUGACUCGCCUAUUAACAUUAAUAAUUCGUUAGGCACAAAAUACUUAAAACUUAGUUAUUAGUUUUUGUGUGCCUUUCAUAUGUAAGGACUCAUACUCUUCUAUGCUAUCUGAUAUGAAACUAUUGAGGUACAUAAUAGACACAUGAAAUGCUUGAAAGAUACUACAUGUACACCCUAUGUAUAAAGUGUAAAUAUUACACCCACCCUUAAAAAAAUUAAUUUUUUCUGAAUAUGUAGUAUAAAAAAAGAAGGUUGACGAGAUUAGUGAGUAGAUAAUAGUCUUUGGAUAGUUAGGAUGUAAAAUUUAUACCAUAAUUAUAGGUGUACAUACAGCAUUGCUCAAAAUUCUAAAAAUGUUAUCAAUUUUAUCACCUAAUUAGUUGCGAAACAUGUAUUUUGUUCGAUUGGAAAGUUCAAGGGCGCGCAAUUCACAAUAUCAUGACAACACAGGGAGUAAUGUAGAAACCCUCACAUUAUAUACAAUUCUAUAUAUAUUUAAUAUGACAGUUAUUUUUUGAAAGACACGUAAAAUUGAUAAAACUUAAACUAAGUAGUAUAAACCUUUCAUAUAAUUAUUUAUUCUAAGUCAAAACUCUUGUAGAAAAUAUCCCCUGAAGAGUUGCCAUCUUUAAACAUUAGCUUAUCCUACAUAUCCUAGCUAUGAAUAGUACAACAUGGUUACAAAAAGGAAAACAUACCAAAGUGACCCAUUACCAUCUCCAAAGGCUUAUCAAUUUCAUUGGUCUCACAUGUGUUGUCACAACACAAUCAAUGGAUUAGAAAUGACAUGCACAACAGUUAAAUCAGGUUUAAUAUAAAAUUAAUUGACCCUAUCUUAGCUAUAGAGAGAGAGAGAAAGAGUCCAGCUAUGUUACUUUUAAAAACACAAAGUACUAAGUACUUGUAAGUUUUUCGCCGUUAGAUUUAUCCUUUCGACCGUUUUCAACUGUUGGAUCAUACUAUUCAACCAACCACCUACUCAACCUUAGCGGACCAUUAUCAUCAUAACCAUAUAUCUUUUAAUCUAAGGAAUGAAAACCUACAAGCACCAAUAACUUGGUACUUUUAAAAGCAUAGGAGCUCAAUGACAAGUGCAAUGAUCCAAUUCUAUUCUAUUACAACAUAUAUGCCCAGCUACAAUGACAAGUACAAUGAUCCCAUUCUCUUAUGUUCUUAUUCGAACGGUAUGUUCAAAUCACAUAAGAAUAUUACAUGAUAAUGGAAAAAGGAAAUGAUAUGCCGACAACCAAUGAGGGCUCGUAAUCUUUACAACUCCUCAUUCAACAGCAUUGAAAAUUAAUCCUCUUUAGCUUUUAGUAAAUAAUAAUAAUAAUAAUAAUAAUAAUAAUAAUAAUAAUGUGAACUUGACUUUUAGAUGGGCCAAGUUUUAGAAUUACAAUCCAUAAAGGAUUGUAGAUCUAACACCCCUCAAUUUAAAAAAAAGGGUAUUUUUCAAUUUGGCCUCCUAUAAUUUCAAAUUUUGUUAUAUCAUCCUACAUUUCAAAAAGCUACACUAAAUUUUUCAUAAUUUUAUUUUUGUUUCAUGCUAAAUAUCUAUCAUUAAAUAGAGCUAACUAGGAUAAUAAAAUGAUACUUUUUAAAAAUCACAUAGAAGUACAAUGUAAUAUUUUUCUAUUCUAUAAUCUAUAUUUUAUACAUUGUUGUUUGCAGGAUGUGUCACUUUAUUAUCCUAUUUAACUAUGUUUAUUAGGAUGAUAUAAAAAUAAAAUCAUAAAAUAAUUAAGUAUAAUUUUUUAAAUCACAUAAUGACAAAAAAAAAAAAAUGUGUUGAUUUCCGGAGGGCAAAUUAAAGUUUACCCCAAAAAGAAAAGAACUCACAUUAUGGUAAGUAAUUAAUAGCUUUUGAAAGAAACCACUUGCACACCUGCUUAUAGGUAUAAAAUAGUAAUAUUCGGAUGAAUCUUGUCGAAGAUUUACGUUGGCUAUUUAUUAUUGGCUAAAAUAUGUCCAACUUACUGUCCUGUGAUAUUAGGCCUAAGAAAAUUAAUAACUUAAGCGGAUAAGUCCAAUAAAUUAAGUAAUACUACAAUCCAAACUUAAUUAACAAUAAAAGAUCUAACAAUAAAUCUAACGUCCAUAUAUAUUGUCAUGUCGAAGUCCGUAAACACGCUAGUUGAUCCUUUCUGUGUGAUGAGUACGGCCUUCCUAUCACCAUAUAUAUAUAUAUAUAUAGAGUUGAGCUGGAAUGCUAUCGGUAGCAAACGAGUUCCGUUGCCACCCAUUUGUUUUCGAUGAUGGAGCUUUCAAAUUGACGAUCGGCACCGUUGAACAUGAUCUAUAUCACUUGAAGUAUCUAGAAAUCAAAUUUCAAAUCUUUUCGACAUCAUUUACCUAAUGAUCAAAGGAUUUCAAAAUUAGUAAUUUUAAUGGUUGAUAUGAGGGAUUUUCUCGUUUAACGGUGUAAAGCUAUCCAAAUCAAUUGAAUUUUGGUUAGAAAAUUCUUUAAACUAUUUAGAAUAAGAUCUAUACUCUUGAUCAAGAUUACAAAAUUUUUAUCAUCAUUUUUCAGAGAAUAUUCAUUUUCAGCCAUUCAUUUUUAUGCCCACUUGAUGGACAAGAAAACAAUAUGGGAAAAGUAUGAAAUUUGAUUUCUAGAUACUUCAAGUGGUAUAGAUCAUUUUCAACGGUGCCGAUCGUCGAUUUGGAGGCUCCAUCAUCGAAAACAAAUGGGUGGCAACGGAGCCCGUUUGCUACUAAUAGUAUUCCAGCUCAACUCUAUAUAUAUAUAUAUAUAUAUAUAUAUAUAUAUAUAUUGGAAUAGUUGUUUAACGCUUACAUUCACAAUUUACACCUUUAAAUGUGUACACAGGUGGCAUUGCUCAUAGCAUUUUUUUUUUAUAAUUUAGAUUAAUUACUAAAAAAAGUACCUAGAAAGUGACAUCACAAGUGACCAUGUACUACAUUCAUGUCAAUUUUUCAUUUGAUAGCGUUGCAGACAUACCCAUUUGAAACAGAACAAUCAAACAGUAUUAUGAUAAUUUAAAGUGUAUCAUCACAGAAUAAUGUGUCAAAUUAAUAAGAUACAACUAAAUGCACUUUGCCCUUUUACAAAGAGAGUAAUUAAAAUAUAUAGUUUUGUGUUAAUUUUAAAACAAUUCUGUAUCAUGUGAACUACUUGAUGGGUGGGAAAAAUAUUUAUAAAAAUAGUUGAGCUAUGUGUUACCUCUUUUAAGUGAUGCGAUUAACAAAUAAUGCAACGAAAGUAUAAAUUAAUUUUUAUUAAUUAAAUAUUAUUGAUAAGUCAGUAUUUUUAUAUAAUUUUUGAAUUGAAAAAUAGUUUUAAAAUCCCGCCUACAUACUGACACAUUAUAAUACGACUCAUCAGUGGUGUAUAAAGAGUACAAAAUGUCGCUUGGGGUUUUCUUAGUUUGGAGAGAGACACAUAUCAAAAAUGGUAUAAUUAAUGUUGUUAUCAACCCACAAUUUUUCACAAGCAUGCUUUGCAUAUAUGGAAAACUAUUAUGGCACUUUGAAAAAUGCCUGUAUAUGUUAACCAAUUAAAAGAUUUUUCCUAUCAUAAUGGAGCCAAUAUUGAAAAAAAUUGUAACAUAAAUUCCAUAUACGCAGGGAAAUGCUUUGCACUCCCCCACAGUGUUGUUCCUAUAAGGUUUUAAUGUAUUAGCACAACAAUAUGACACUUUAAGGACCGUCCCUAGCGCAAGUGGUAAAGGGCAUGGUGAUUGAUAUCCGAGACUCAAGUUCGAAUCCUAAUUGAUUCACAUUUUUAGCUAAGUUUAUUUCUAAAUGAAAUAAACGAAACGGAUAGCGUGCUAUCUAUCUCUCUCAACAAAAAAAAAAAGGCUUCACAUAAUAGACGCCGUUGCAUCAAUUGCAUUAAUAACACAUAAAGAUAAUAUAACGAGGCGCUUAUAGUAGUGUUCUUUUGUGUAUGUAUUGACACAAAAGUAUGACACUUUUAGGUGUAUGUUCAUGAAUCAAUCAAAACUCUUCAUAUUAUAAAUGCCAAUGUAUCAAUUCUAUCAAUGAUAUAUAAGAACAAUAUUAUAAGAUACCUGUAGUGGUACUCUUUUUUUUUUGUGAAUAAAUCAAACUCUAAAGCCAUGUUAUUGGAAGCCGGAAUAAGUUAUCAAAAAACAAUAUAUUUUACAUGAGUUGAGCUGCAAUGCUAUCGGUAGCAAACGGGCUCCGUUGCCACCUAUUUGUUUUCGAUGAUGCAGCUUUCAAAUCGACGAUCGGCAUCGUUGAAUAUGAUCUAUAUCACUUGAAGUAUUUAGAAAUUAAAAUUCAAAUCUUUUCGACAUUAUUUACCUAAUGAUCAAAGGGUUUCAAAAUUAGUAAUUUUAAUGGUUGAUAUGAGGGGUUUUCUUAUUUAACUGUGUAAAACUAUCCAAAUCAAUUGAAUUUUGGUUAGAAAAUUCUUUAAACUAUUUAGAACAAGAUCUAUACUCUCGAUCAUGAUUACAAAAUUUAUAUCAUCACUUUUUAGAGGAUAUUCAUUUUCAGCCAUUCAUUUUUACGCCCACUUGAUGGACAAGAAAACAAUAUCGGAAAAAUAUGAAAUUUGAUUUCGAGAUACUUCAAGUGAUAUAGAUCAUUUUCAACGGUGCCGAUCGUCGAUUUGGAGGCUCCAUCAUCGAAAACAAAUGGGUGGCAACGGAGUCCGUUUGCUACCGAUAGUAUUCCAGCUCAACUCUAUUUUACAUAUAAAAUAAUUUAUUUAAUCUAAAAAAUUGACUUGAAGUCUGAAUAGAAUAUUCAUUUCUAGACAUUUGAGUUUUGAGCACACUCACUCCUCAUAUGUCAAAUUAAUACUCAAGAAAACUUUAGUUUUCUUUUUUUUUUCUUUUUUUUUUUUAAAGAGGCACCUUCCUACAAUUGACAACUUACUCAAAAGAGGCUGCUCUGGGAAUCAACAGUGCGUGAUGUGCGGUAACGAUUUAGAGACUGUUGAUCACCUGCUAGUUGGAUGCAUAAUCAGCAGAUUUUUCAUGUACAAUAUCCUAGAAGAUAGGCACAUUCCAGGGCCGGGGAUGGAGGUCAGGAGUGUUUGGGAGCUUCUGGCUGGGAACCGCCGCCAAGGGGCAGCUGCGAGGGAUCUAAUCAGAAUCGUAACCUGUUGGUGCAUGAUCUGACGGAAAAGAAAUAAUAUUAUUUUUAGGAGCCAAUCAUUUGACACUUUUUUGACUAUUAGACGGAUACGGGACAUGAGUAGAGAAUGGACUGAGUUUUGCAGCUCUUAGUGCCUUGAUUUUGAGUAAGGAGUACAAGUAUCAAUUUUCUGUAAUUUUUUUAUUUUAGUUUCUAUUUGGUUUUUUUUGUUUUGGUUGCCUUCUAUGUUUUCUGAGGCUGCGUUGCCUCUAAAUUCAUUUGCUAAAUGAAUGAAGCAGGUAGAGUGCUACCUUUCUCUCGCAAAAAAAAAAAAAAAAAACUUUAGUUUUUCUAAUUAACACAAAAGAAUCUUCAUGCUGAAUAUAUCGUCAUUCGAAUAUUUUGUCCCGACAUCCAAAACAGAGUCUCAAGCAAAAACUCUUUUAAAAGUUUAUAAAUCACAUUUCUCGUCGAAUCUGCAAAAGUGAAAAAAGUUGGAUGACAAAAAAGAAACAUGGCUGAAAGUUUGGAGGCUAGUGCUGGAGGAGGAGGAGGAGGAGGAGGAGCUUAUCCCGUACACAAAUGUAUGGAGAGAAUUCAACAAUGGAUCACAAUAGUUAGGUGGACUGUACGUAGGAGCAGUUGUUUCCACGAAGAGGAUUGGACGUGACAUGAAGGGAUAUGUGAACAAUGGUUGCUUUGGAUGGAGAUGGGAUUGACACGUCGUUGAAUCAUCCAUGCAUUGCAUAGUGUGAUUUGAUUUGCCCUUCCUCUAAUAACGAUCGUCUACAUACGCAUGGUACUGUAUUAACUAGAAGAGAACUAUCAAUUAUGUAGACAACUCGUGCGCUCUAACAACCUUCAAUGUUUCCUCACAUGAUAGGUUUUUCUUUUUUUCUUUUUUCUUUUUUUUUUUUGUUACAAUUAUGUGACAUAAGAUGUAUCUUGAAGAAAUUUUCUUGUUUGAUAUAUAUAUAUAUAUAUAUAUAUAUAUAUAUAUAUAUAUAUAGAGAGAGAGAGAGAGAGAGAGAGAGAGAGAGAGAGAGAGAGAGAGAGAGAAAGUCUUGUGUGCUAUUAGAAGCACAGAGACUUUCGUGUUCCUAAACUGCUUUCGAUGAUGGAACUUUCAAAUCGACGAUCAACUUCUUUAGACUUGAUCUAGCAUAUUUGAAGUGUCUAAAAAAUAAAUUUUACGAUUUUUCGAUAUCAUUUACCUAGCGAUCGAAAGGGCUCAAAAUCAAAAAAUUUUAAUGAUUGAUAAAUAUCGUUUGCUAGUUUAACAUUGCUAGUUUAACAGUGUAGAAAUAUUCAAAUCAGAUGAAAUUUUGAUAGAAAUUUUAUUUUUACUAUUUACUGCAAGAUCAAAAUCUUUGAUCGAAAAUUUUAAUACUUCAAAUAUGAUAGAUAAAUAAAUGAUAUCGAAAAAUCAUAAAAUUUAUUUUCUAUCGCUAAAUAAAUGAUAUCGAAAAAUCAUAAAAUUUAUUUUCUAAAUACUUCAAAUAUGGUAGAUUAAAUCUAACAGAGCCGGUCGUCGAUUUGAAAGUUUAUCAUCGAAAAUGGCUUAGGAGCACGAAGACCUCCAUAGCUCCGUGCUCCGAAUAGCACGCUAGACCCCUCUCUCUCUCUCUCUCUCUCUCUCUCUCUAUAUAUAUAUAUAUAUAAUAGUAGUUUUUUAAUAUUGAAUGCAGUUAAUUAUGUGAAACAACUUUUACUCUUCAAAAGUUUUAAACUAUCAUAAAACGGUAUUUUAAUAUUUUAUGUUAGAUAAAUGUUGUUAUUUCCUAGUGUAAUAACUGCAAUAAAGGGGGGAUCUUCAACCCACUCGAAAGUAUAUGUAUAUGUUUUGCCUCGCUUGUAUUUUUGAUUUGGGUGAAAAGUUGCUCCAGUAAAGUGUUUGCAAAAGCCAAAAAAAAAGAGAAAAAAAAAAAAAAACAGACGAUUCAGCUGUAAUAGGAAGUAGAAAUAAUACUCUUUAAGGUAUAAUUUUAAAGUGAAAAAUCAAACCCCCCAUUUUUCAUAUUUCUAAAGGAUUGAAAAUUUUGAUAAGUAUUUUAUGAGCUUUUACAUUCCUAUACUAUAGCAUGGUAGGUGGCUGCAUCAAGCCAUCAAAGAAGCAUCCAAUAUUCUGAAGGAAGCUGGAGCAUAAGUCGGAUGCUUACUCAAUUCUUCAAAGCCUCUAAAACAUAUCUUAGAUGCAAGCAAGCAACAUCAACCUCCCAAACUAGCCCUAACAUUACAACAAAUCUUACACUUUAAAAAUACUUUAAAUAAUAACUAGCGACGCUUUAAAACGCCCGCAAGAAAAACCCCGACACUAAUAAAAGUGUCGAGCAAAAAAUCGUUAAGUAAAUAUGUUAGGAUAAAUAUACCGAUGCUUUAAUAUAGCGUCAAAAAUUUUUUAUCAGUAUUUGAUAAAAAUAUGUUUAUCGAUGGCGUGUAAAUAUGACGUCGGCACAUGCCAAAUAUUGAAGAUGGUAGAAUAGAGCGUCGUCUCCGUCUAAAAGAUAUUUUGUUGUAGUGUGAGCAGCAUUUUGACAUUUUUGAUUCGCUAUAAACAUAAUCUACUGUUUCUUCUGGACCAAAAAGCACUACUCAAACAACAUCUCAUCAAACAUCAAUGGUUAAUUAGGGUUUUAAAGUGGGACGCAAAUUAAGUUCCUAAGAAGCUCCAGUAGUCCAUGUUGGCUAUUUAUUUAUUAUUAGGCUAAAAUGAUUCAAUUUUUUACUCCAUGCCAAUAGGACUAAGAAAGUAAUAAGUUGAGUUGGAUGAGCCUACUGCGAUUCACAAAAAAUCUAACGGCAAGUGACCCAACAAUAAACCUAACAUUCAGAUAGGUUAAGUCAGAUCGAAAUUCGUAAAUAUUGUAGUUGAGCAUUAAGUGCGGAGGAUACGUCCUAUCGACACGUGUUUUUAAAAUAAUUGGUUAAUACUAACAAUCUACAGUCCUGCAGUAGGUCAUUUGUCAUGUGAAGAAAUAAGCAAUCUCACACGCAAUUAUUUCCCCCCAUUUUCUAAUAUUUCUUUCUGAGAAGAGAGAAGAUGAAUCAUGGUCAAUGUUCUCUCUCCAUACCACACCAAUAAUUGGUUUCUCUAACAAAGUUACUGUUUGAGUUGAAACCUAGUCCUAUGCCUCUUAUUAGUGAGUACUCUCUCUCUCUCUCUCUCUCUCUCUCUCUCUCUCUCUCUCUCUCUCUCUCUCUCUCUCUCUCUCUCUCCCCCACCCCUCUAGAAUGAGUCAUUCCUAGGGCUUAAAGCCCGUGGGUCCCACGGGGGUGCACGUGCAGGAGAUUUAAUGCACUCCCACGGGGAGAUUGGGACGUGCAUGUGCGCCUUGUCUCGGUGAUCUUACUGAUCGAACGCGAAUGACACACCAAAGCUACAGUAGUUGUGGCCCUCUUGGACUAACUUAGAUACAUUAACAUGUAGGGCCUACUCCCCAUUCAUCUCCCCAUUCAUCACGAUUCAUUCUCUCUCUCUCUCUCUCUCUCUCUCUCUCUCUCUCUCUCCUGCGCACACACAAAAUGCUAUUUUAUAAGACUCUAUUUGAUUCAGAUUAAGUAAAAAUUAUUUAUUUUAGAGAUGAAUAUAAAACUUAGAUAUAAGCAAACACUAGCUAAUUUUAUAUUUGGAUGAAAAUUGAAUUGUUUCUAAAAAUAAGAUAAAUAGUAUUUGAAAUCUUCGAUAGUUAAAUUGGAUAAAAAAGAAUAAGAUUUAUAAUUUUAAAUUAAAAUUAUUUUAUCUUAUUAACUAACAUCAAAAUAUUACUUAAACAAUAAUUUAUUAAUUUAAUAAAUUAAUGAAUUUAUUAGCUAUGAAUAUUGUAUAAAAUAAUAAAUAUAUAUUAAUUAAUUAAAUAAAUAUAAAAAAAUAAUUUAACUUUUUAACUAGUUAGUAAAUUAUUUUAGUUCGAUAACUAGUAAAAAAAAUUAAUUAGAUUAAUAAAAAUAUUAACGGCUGAUCACUAUAACUAUUAGCUUAAAUAUAAACAUAUUAAAUUAUUAAUAAUUAAUUAGCUAAUUAAUUAUUAAUUAUAAAUAAUAAAUUAAUUAAUUACUUUAUUAUUUAAGCCAUGGAUAAUAAUUUAAAUAUAUUAAUUAAAUUAGCUAAUAAUUUAAUAUCAUAAUAAUUAAAAUUAAAUUUAAGUUUUAAUUAAUGUUAUUCCCACUUGAGAACGAGCUUAGUUUCAAAAAAGAGAAGGAACAGCAGUUCUAGUUUUAUACCAACUUAUUUCAGAAAUCUUAGUCUCGCAUGCGAAAAUUUUCGUCUGGAAACAAAGAGGGGAACAAGGACUUAUUCUUCUCUUGUUUCCGACCUAAACACUGCCUAAUAAGAGUGCAGUAUCUCCAACAUUCUAUAAAUGGAACAAUCUCACCGCUCAUUAAUUAACAUUGCCUGUACUAAAUAAUCCUACUCCGAUCUAGUGAGUGACAAUUCAGACUAUCCGGCGUGCAGAAUCCUCCUACACAUUAUAGAGUCACACCAAAUAUGCACCCCUACUUUGUAGGACUAAAUAUAUUCAAUCAAACUUUAUAAUUGCUUAAAACCUUAGCUGUUUCGCUACAUUUACUGGCCAAUGUGUAUCACACUAUUAAAAAUUUGGUUCAAGUUACUAGAUAAUGGCGAAAACAACAAUGCACAUAGGCCUUAGCUCAUUUUAUAAUAAUAAUAAUAUUUAGAGAAAUAAUAUUUAGAGAGAAAUGACUCGAUACUUUAUUUUAUAAAAAAAUAAAAAAAAAUCUUAACCGUCGAUCAAUGAAGGAUAAAGAUGUAAUAGUAAGAGACAAUUAAUACAAACCUUGUUCUAACAGGAUUUGUUUUGUCGGUCUUUAUGAAAGCGGUGUCUCAGAGAUAACCCAUGUUCAUAUCCACCAUUCUCUUCACCUGAAUGUAGGGGUGGAAACGAGCCGAGCUCGAGCGAGCUUAUGUCAGCUCAAAUUCGGCUUGAAAUUAAUUUCGAGCCUAAAUCUAGGCUCAAGCUCGGCUUGAAAUUAAUUCGAGCCGAGCUCGAGCGAGCCUAAUUUCGAGUUGAGCCGAGCUCGAGCUCUAAACGAGCCGAUUGAAAUUCUCGACAUUAUAUAAUCAAUAGUUUAAUUUUUAUAGAACAUUACCUACAGUUUGAUACAACAUGUCCAAUAGUUCAAAAUACAAAAUAAUUAUAAAAAAUGUGAGCUAGGAUAACUUCCUGACUAGAUGAGGAUCUGAGAGAGAGAGAGAGAGAGAGAGAGAGAGAGAGGGGAAAAAAAGGAGGGAUUUGGAAAUUUAAAUAUUAUCAUGUUUUAGGAUUAUGUGCAACAGUGAAAGUCUGAAAGAGAAAGUGUGUUAUGUAAAUUUAGAGUUGGGCUCAAUUGUACGAUUGUACUUGUUGGGUUUAUUUUAUGGGCCAUAUAAUAGCCCAAAUUAAAUUAAAAGCCUAUAUUAAUUAAUAUAUAUAUAUAUAUAUAUAUAUAUAUAUAUAUAUAUAUUAUAUAUAUUAUAUAUUAUAUAUAUAUAUAUAUAUGAGUCCUGCUGCUAUACUUUUAUGAGUAUUGGCUCCUUUAUACUCAUAAGUUUCGACCCUUAGAUUUAUUCCAUUAAUCAUUUUCAUCCGUUAGAUUUCAUACUAUUUAACCAACUACCCACUCAACCAUAGGGGACCACUAUCAUUCUAAGUUGGGACCACUAUCAUCCUAACCACACAUCCCAUCAAUCAACGGUUAAAACUUUAUGAGUACAAGGAGGUCUAUACUCAUAAGAGUAUAGUAGUCCCAGCCUAUAUAUAUAUAUAUAUAUAUAUAUAUAUAUUAGAGCUUUUCGAGUUUUUCGAGCCUAAUUCGAACGAGCCGAGUAAUACUCAAGCUCGGCUUGAAAUGAAUUUCGAGCCUUUUAUUUUGUUCAAGCUCGGCUCAUUUAAUUUCGAGUCGAGCUCGAGCGAGCCGAAUAUCGAGCCGAACACGAGUCGAACGCGAGCCGGCUCGCUCGUUUGCCAGCCCUACCUGAAUGUGUGAGGCCUAUAGUUGGUCGCAAUCGACCUUCCAAAACCAAGAUGAACCUCUUUUUAAAGAAAAAAAUAAUAAUAAUUAAGAGUCAGGAACUUGACCCUCUACUACGCUUAUACCCGGAUCUCUCAAGCAGGUUAGGUCGAGUAAAUUGUGCAUUUUACAUGCAGACAAUAAGAAAGAAUUAGCUAUUCUAAUCACGCAAAAGUAUUUUUGAACAAGAAGAAGAGCACAUUCGGUCGAAGAUAAAAGUAAUCAACAAUAGAUAAAGAUGAGUGAAUUAGAAUGGUCAUAAUAUUUUAGCCAACUAUACAAACCCAAUGAUGGAGAGCAAGUCAAAGAAGCGUUUUAAUCACUGCAACCAGUGAUAAUAUUUUCCAUCAAAAAUUAAUGAUGAGGCAAACAAGUUUAAUUUAGAGCAAAUUCAGCACAUUAACAGUGAAUUAGAUGGGGAUUUAGGAUUCAUGAGAUAGAAACAAAUUAAAAACUAAGACAAGUUAAUGAGCAGGUACAUAGGACAUGAAAAAUCAUUGCUCUAUUAUAAACAAAUAGAUCUAUAUGUCGCAUCACAUGCCAUAACUUUAGAAGGUACAUGGAAAACAAUCUUCAGCAAAUGUUAAAAUUUUCAAUGAGAAAAAUUUACACAACUCUUUUUAUCCGCUUUGAAAGGUUUUAUAUAGAUAAAGAGCUGUUAUAUCAAUGUACUGUUUCCAAUUUAUUGAAGUGUUUUUUCGAAUAAACAAACGUCACGUUUACUUGUACCUUCUACAAGUUUAAUAUAAUAAACACAACAGUCACAAGCACAUGGAAUAAAAGAUUUUUUUUUUUUUUCUCUCUUUUGAAAGAGAAAGUUACCAUGGUACAUACUUCGUUUUCGCUUAAUGUACGCAUCGAAAAGUCAAAGGCAUUCAUAUUGUGUUUAGAAGUUUUGAUCUUGUGUCACAUAGAUUCCUUUUCGGAGGUGCUAGAAAAUAAAUACAAUNACAUCCUUUUCAGUUCCCUAUCUAAGUUCCCUGGGUGGCUUAAUUUACCAAGUUUGAAUCGUCAGUAUUCACUUAGCUAUCCACUGAUAAUUGGUUUGAAAGGGUAAAGAAGGAUGUUUAAAUAUAAUUAUACAAAUAAGAUGAUAUUCAAUAUAUAUAUAUAAUAUAGAAUUAUACUACUAUACUAUCGAUAGUACCAAAUGCUUGAUGUUAUCGAGAUUUCGACCGUUGAAUAAAAGAAUAUACAGUUAGGAUGAUAGUUGUCCCCUAGAGUUGAGGGGAUGGUUGGUUGAAUAGUAUAAAUUAACAGAUGGAAAUGAUCAAAGGGUAGAUCUAACGGUAGAAAACUCGAUAGUACCAAGAGCUUGGUACUAUCGAUAGUAUAGUACCCGAACUCUCUCUCGCUCUAUAUAUAUAUAUAAAAGAAGGAUGUUUAAAUAUAAUUAUACAAAUAAGAUGAUAUUCAACCUAGAGUCCAGCACCAAGCACUUGGUACAAAUAAGAUGAUAUUCAACCUAGUUCUAUAUAUAUAUAUAUAUAUAUAUCUGACUUAACAACAAGUGGUCCAUGAAAGCACCAAGUAUACCCACCACAGCAUUUCCACCUUAGCCUACAAGUUUAGAUGCUAGUUUUUGCCGCAUGCCCAAGUGAAAUAACUUACGACUUUAUGCCUAUAAAUACCUAUAUAUCACCUUUCUCUACCAUCUCUCUCAUUCACUACUCUUUCAUGUUUAGUAGGGAAUUGGAGAUGAGGCGACGGCCUUCAGUUUCAGUGCGGAGAAUUCAAGCAAUGGUUCUUGCAAAGAAGAAGAAACCUUUCGAACUGCUGGUGCAAAGGAAACUUCAGGAGCUCAAGAAGAUCAUCCCCAAGAACAACGACAAUGGUGUAGAGGCAUUACUUCGCACGACUGCGGAGUAUAUAUGCUUCCUAGAGUUGAAAGUGACAGUUCUCAGGGAUCUCGCCAACCUCUAUGGUGUGUAACACUUACUUUCUUUAGGGUGUUGUGUGUGUGUAUGUGUCAGAGAGAGAGAGAGAGAGAGAGAGAGAGAGAGAAGAGAAGACAUUUCUUUCUGCUCUCUUAUGUUCAACCUAAUGUGUUGUAGUAUUAUGUUUUACUAGGCAUUGGAGAGAGUUAUACUAUUCUCUUUCCACUUCUAUGAUUAGUAUGGCCUUAGAAAAUUUGGAAUCAAUCUCAAUUGUAAGCCUUAUGAAGCACUUGCCUGGUUAAGUGUAAAGUGAUAUGUAACUUCAAACAAGUUCUACUCUAUCAAUAUGAUCUUCUCUUUUCAUUUUUUUAGUUUUGGUAUUAAUUAAGGUGUACUAUGCGGCUAACAAGAAAUUCUCUAAUCACUUCAUUAAAACAAGAGAGGUAGGAUAUUUCUUCUACUAUAUCAAUAACAAGGAUUUUCGUACCACAGUAUGAAGCGUGCCGACACACGCACCUCAUCAGACCCUCCUUCAUAUGCAACACGGUUGACAGGGGUUGAUUGGAGCAGUCCGACCGUUACGGAAAGCCUAGAUCCUAGAUCACUAUUGCUGCAUUGGGCACCAUAAUUUGGUAUGCAAGUUGGUAAACAACUAUUUCCUACAUAUUGUAAAAUGCAAAAGAAAAUUAGAACCCUGAUGAGAAUAUUUUUCUCUUUUUUAUUGUUUUGUGGAUAAAUGAGUGCCUCUAAACUCCUAUAAACCAAACAAGAAAUACUAGAGAAGAAAUGCUAAGUUUGCAACCCAAAAUGAGUUGUAAUCUUACAACUAUUAAAAACCAAAAAGACGUUAGUAAACCCUAGGCAUCCUUGGAUGCAAGGUCGUAAGAUUACAACCAUUCUUGGGUUGUAAAAUUAGCAUUUUUCUAAAUGAAAAGAUGGGUUGGACAAGUACAAGAUUAGAUACAAAAUUAUAUCAGACACUAACGAAGUAAUUAUCAAUCAGUCAGAAGUCACUAUUGUAACAGAGAAAUAUUCUUAAGCAAAGUUGACUUGUACUUGGGGAGCAAACCUCUGCAUCCUCUGUGAUAUUCUGACAAUCCACCUAUAGUCCAAGUUCGAAUUUUCCGCAGCCCCCUGCAUAAAGAAUUCUUGCUGGCAGAAUGAUUCAGCCCCACACACCAAUGGAGGGAUGAAUCUGAGCCAUCCACCUGCAUACAGGGUUAUAGAGAAUGUUCUCCUAAGUCCAUCUAAAGCACUGGUUAUUUGUUUGAUAUUAUCAAAAAAUAGAGAUGAUAUCUCCUUUUCAAAAGAGACUGAUAGAUCGUCAUUAUAUUAGUAAUGUGAAAAUCUUUUCUAUUCAUAAGGCCGCUAAAAAUUUGCUCUUGUAUACUUUCUAGGCGGUAUUUUACCUUUUAACUAUCUUACACGAUGCAGUAGAUUCUUUUCAGCAAUAUCUCAAUUUACUCUACAUUUUACAUAAAGAAAGACGCUUUUCAUAUUUAGACCAUUUAGAUUAACUUCUAUACUGUAAAUUUUAGAUUAACUUAUUUACUGUAAAUUGACUCAACAAUAGUACAGUAUUUGAGAUUUGUCGAUAUAAGAGUAGUGUUACAACUUAGCUCUAGACCUUAUAUUAAGUUCAGUGAUUUAACAGGUGAGAUGGGUUUACGCGUAAAAUAAUAUGUAGUGACCAACUUCCUUGUCACUUGUCAUUGACGCGAAAGCUUAUAACAUAACUACUAAAUUAAGGUAUGAAAUUGAACAAGAAAACUAAAUUAAAGUAUGAAACAGAACAAAAGUACUUCAUUGAAGAAUGAAAUUGAACAAUACUACUAAAUUUAAGUAUGAUAGCGAAUGAUUAGGGUUAGAAUGUUAUGUGAAGUUAUGAUGACAAACCUGUAAAAUAUAUUACAUGUCAUAAUGCCAAUACUGCAUUUAUAUUAUGGUCCACCAUCUUCUUAUGAUUCUAAGAUUCUGUACUAACUACUACAUGGUUUCACAAAUCUAGGAUAAGUAAUAUAUCAAAAGGCACUACAAGUGGAACGGUCGCUUAUUUUGAUAUACAAGGGCUUAAACCCCAUUACACUUCACAAAUAGAUAGUUGAAUAGUUGCUUGGGGAUGGGAGAUACAUCCAAAGGAACCCACCUUACAUCAUGGGAAGCCACAUGGUAUCCUUUCAAAAACACUAGAACAAAACAAAUCUCUACCUAUGGGCACUAAACCUAUGUUAAUAAAGCAAAACGAAUAAAAAAAGGGAUACUUUUUGCUCAAGUUUGACAACUCUUACGAAAGAACCCUGAAUUUAGGGCACACCUCAACAUAUAAUGUUAAGGUCCCCAAUACACUAAUCAUAGUUAGUCCAUGCCUUUUUAAUAACACAUGGAGCCCAUGCAUGUGUGGCCAUCUAUAUGGUGUAUGCAUGAUUUAGCUUGUGGCCAAGCGCCAUAAUAGGAGCAUGUGAUUAGUACAUCCUAGGCUACUCUCUACAUUAGACUUUCUAAUUGUACAGGUAUUGGUAUUUGUGGUCCUCAAUUUAGUGAAUACAUGCAUACUUGUUUUGAAGUAGGCUAGUAAAUGAUGAUCAAUUAUGGAACUGGUUCUACAAUUUACUAAGACUAUUGAACAGAGUCGGCUUGUAUUCAAGUCAGAGUCUAAGCGUUAACGAAUAUGAGUGAGAGGGUGGCCCAGCCGACAUAACUCAAAGGCUUGGAAGUUAGUGUUGACUCUUGACUACAAAAACCUCAUAGAUUUCAUUGUUUCUUCAUGGCUAGUUUGGGACAAUUGAAGCUUCAAUGCACGACUUAAUAAGCUAUACGCUAACAACUUACCAAUCAAUUUAAAACAAGCAACUUCAGACAAAAUCUAAACAAUUUGGUUAGAGAAGCUGCUCAAGAAGCUGAAUGUUAAAAGCUCAUAAUGACAUGAACAACCAUACAAGCAAAGAGAAUCUCGCAAUGUUUUGCUUGAUAUGAUAUUCUUUCUAUUUCAAAAGAUUUUUGAAUAUAAGUUCCAAGAGCCGGGAACCCAAUAACCAAUGACCUAUACUUACUAUGUUUACGUCUAGAAUUAACUCUGAAUUAGGGAGACUAUUAAUUAGUAAUGACAACAGAAGAAUAGAGUUACGUCACAUAACAGAGCGUAAAGUGCUGCAACCAAAAGAGCAUAAUAACAAUUUAAAGCCAUAAUUUCUACUUGGUAGAAACAUAGAGCACGGUUGAAGAACUUCAAUACAUUAUUAAAAUUUGACAAGUUGUACUUUUUGUCAAUAUGUAUGAAUGACAGCAGAGCAGUAGAUUAAAAAGAUAACAUGUACUGACGAAUAUAUAGAAGAAAACACUGGUAAUAAAAACAAGAUUAAAGAAGGCACUUUUUCUGGUUCUAAAGAUAUCAUGAACAUUAGAAAAUCCUAUUUAUCCAUAGACCCUCUUUUAGCCAGCUGUAUAAGCCCAAGGAAAUAAGCGGCACAUAUUACUAGGGGAAAAAAGAAAAAAUGAUUAAUCAGCUAUUGCAAUCAUAAAAAGAAGAGCAAAGCCAUCUAGGUUGAUUAAAAAAACCCGAUGUGGCCGCCAUGUGAGUUUAAUACAUCUUUCAGCAAUGCAGAACAAGAAGAGAAAAAAAAGGGGUGGAAAAUAGCCCCACACCAACGAACCAUGUUCUCAGGAUCCUGUUGAAUUACCUUUCUCUCCGCCACUAUUACUAAAUAAGAGAAAAACAACAUUAAACCUCACCAAUUGCUUUAUGUUUCAACUCCCGCCUUGUUUUCUUUCAUGGCCAUGUACAAUCAUAAAAAGGAUCAUCCACUCGAACUUUAUUGUAGCUAGGAUACUGGCAUUCAAAUUUGGCACAGCAAGCUUGUAAAGGUGGGGCUUCGAAAUCAUGUGCAUCCAUGUGGCUUGUCUCCUCCCUUUAGGGGCCCCUUCUCACUAAUCAAAUAUUCGACUUCAUAUGAAUUCAUUUUCCUCUAUUAGUCUUAGUAUUUGAUCCUUGUACAUUAUGAAGACUGUUUCAUUACUCAUUUAGCUUAACAUCUUCAUUUUUCUUCUCAUUUCAUACACCACACUUCACCUACUUCCCCACGCUUAACAGCGACUAUACUACAAUUCCAUAAAAUCCAACAAAAAAUUUCAAUGAGAGAGCAUAUAUAGGAUAUUGAAACUUCAAUAUACCAGUUGGUUAUCUAGUAUCACACCUUACUGUUCCUCUCGCUAAGAAUGCAAGACUCAGACUCGCUCAAGAAAGCUUUCCUGAAACACUUACUAAUAGGACUCCAUCGAAGUGGUGUUGCAUCCGUAAACAUGAGUUUUGUCAGGAGGAAAAGAGCCUUAAGCUCAUUUCCGACAUCAUUUUGGCCACUGCUAGAGGUGGAACAAAAUGGAGCAAAGCCAUCAUAGAGGAUCUUUACAACCAAGAAAGAAAGAAAAAUCCUACAGAGUAGUUUUUUGAGGAAAGAACAUGAGGUCACCUCAACCAUCCUCGAAAUGGAGAAUGAUGAAAAGUAAGAAAAUCUUGAGAAGUUUCCAGGUAAGAUCAAAAGCAAUGAAGAAUGUGCAUGAAUAUGAAGGUGCUUCAGGAGGUGUUCUUGACAAGGCUAUGAUAAAGAAGAAGAUGCGUGUUCUAAGGCAUCUAAUACCAGGAGCUACAUUCUUGGAUGACUUAUGUCUGUUGGAUCAAACCCUAGACUAUGUUAUCUCCCUUAGGGCUCAGGUCGAUGUGAUGCAGAAACUCAUGAAAACCCUCAAUGUUAGAAGAUCCAAGUAAGCCGGUCUAUCCCAUAAAGUAGUUUUCCCCAAUGCAAUAGGCCAUGUAGAGAUUUAGUCUCUACCAUAAAGCAUGAUAUAAACUUACUAUUUCUCGUAUAAUAAGAGUAUCGCUGGUUUUGUGCAUAAGUUGUUGCCAAGCCCCACUUAGGGAUGUUAUGCAAGACCAGGCAAAUAAUAGCUCAUUGUCCGAUAUGGUUUUGAAAGUUGAAUUUCGUAUUUUGAAGGAAAUAAUGUGCCAUGAGAUCAAUACUAAUUUACUCAAAAGGGAAAAGUUCUUAGAUGACAAAUAUUUUCUCCUGGGGCAUUUUCUCUUGAGAGAUCUGUUGCACCUUAUCUAUAUGCCCUAAUGAAGGGAUAUAUUCCACCUAAACUAUUUGCACCUUAGCUAUUUAAACAGCCAUAUAACUAUCACAUAGUGCAACUACAUUUUCACACAACUUUUUUGAUCCCAGAACCUAAAUCAGUUAAAGGACUCCUCAUGCAUAGUUUCGCUUAACUAGUACUUAUCUCAAUAUCGAAAGGAGGACAAAAUGUAGUUUGGCUCAAGGCAAAACUUGGACAGCAUCGAAAGAGAUGGGAGGCACUAUUUGAGUACAGCUACUGCACUAGCAACCAGAACACUUGCAUUAUGCAAGCAGAGCAUGAUCAGAUUUACAGGUUGUAAAUGAAAGUACAAUAAGGCCUUGCCUUUGAUCAGGUUGAUGCAUCAGAUUGUAUGGAUUUACAUCCUAGGGUUUAGAGAUGAGAAGUUAUCUUUAGAGUACACUCAUAAUAUAAAAGAGACAAAGAUGGUACCACCAAACAUAAUUAAUCUGAAGACAUUACACAACCCAACUAUCUUGGCUGAUUUUCUUUUAGACCCAGAAGAUCAUUCAGAGGGGACCAUGCAUCAGACUAGGGUAAAAAAUUACCAGCCAAUGAGUUGAAAUAAAAUUGGGACAGGUCUAACUCAUGUCCAUAGUUCAAUUCAUAUAUAUUUCUAUCCAUGUCUUCAUGUUCAGUUGAUUAAAACAUUAGAAAUGCAUACAAAAGAGAUCUAUCCUAUAAGGUGAAGGCCAUCUAAACUAAGGUAAAAACUAGAAGAGUAUCAUUACGAUUUACUACCUCUUAUAUAUUGAUAAACAAAUUUUGCUAAGAAGGAUGUUGAAUCUAUUAACACCACAAUCAAGAUCACACAACAGUUUCCAUCUAUUUUCAACACCACAAAUGUAAGCGCAGCCCCUCCAACCAAAAAAAAAAGCUAAUGGAGACAAAACCCACAAUUAAGUCAACAAAACACGGAAUAAAGAUUGCUAUUUUAGAGACAAGUGAACAAGCCAAAAAACAUUACUAAAAGGUACCGCAUACUACUAGUAAGAAACAGCAGCAACAUGAAAGAAAACACUAAAAUAGAAUUACAUACUCCAGAUUACAACACAACUAUACACAUCAUGCCAUAUUAGUACCUGCAGCAGGAAAAAAGAAAUCACUUCACCAACAGCCUUUGUAACUAUGAGCCGCAGGAACCCCUUUCUCUGUUUCAUUAUAAGCAUCAGUGUUAGGAUUUUGAAACAAGUUGACGAAAUUCAAAAGAAACUAAAAUCACAUAAUUAUGCAAAUAGCAUAGAUAUAUUAGAAGAUGUGCAUUACAUAAACUUAAGCUACCGCUAACUCGACAAAACUGAUUUUUACAAAAUGCUCAAAAUCAUACCACACGCACUUCAGGGUCCACAAAUAGAAAUUAAGCAAGACAUAACACUUUUAUACUUUAAUACAUAAUACAACAUUCGAUAUUUAAACCACUCAAUUACUACUACUAGGAGAAACUGGAAUGGACACCACACUAAAUACUUUGGGACAGAACCAAUUGUACUAUAUCAAAUUGUAGCAGACAAUUAUGUGAAACUGCAAAGAGCCAUUGGUAAAUGGGCAGGUACAGUUAAUGACUAAUGGAUUGUACAGUGACACAAUUGAUCACUAUCUUGCAACAAAUAUUAGAUGCACGCCGUAUUUAAAUUGAAACUAUCUAGUGCAUGUUCUGCAUCUAUAAACUAUUUGUCAAAAUAAUUUUUCCAAAUUCUCAGCAGUCUCAAGCAGUCAAGCCAUACUAGUAAAACGACAAAAAGUGAUGAGAAAACUCUCAAGAAUUACACAAAAUAUGACUAAAUUCUCAUCAGCCUAAUGCAGUCGAGCUAUUCUAGUAAAAUGACGAAAAAUGAUAAGAGAACUUCUAAAAAUUAUACAUAAAAAGACAAGCAUUGAGGGUUGAGAAAAAAGUGGACUCCCACUCUCAACAUCAGUACUAAGCUCUUUGCAAUAAGCCAAACAUGACAGAGCCGCUGAAAGGAAAAGGCCAGUUUGGAAAUGGCAUUAUUAGGUAUAAAUGUCAAAGCCAUAUUUCAUUUGAUAACAAUGAAAACAGUCCUACCAAAGACAGAAAAUCUGCAUGACAAUAAAUAGUGAAAAGAUUAAACCUUGAUUGUACUAUGUGAAAAUAAAGUAGCACGUGAAGAAAUCACAAACAGCAAAGCAGAGCCAACAUUCAGCAAUCAACUUGCAUCUCUUCGCGCCAUCAAUAAUGACACUAUCAGAUAUCUUACAUAGGAAAUCUAACUAAAGCUUUAGGCCUUGAGUACUAUAAUUGGAUCACAACUGGUCUAUUAACAGAAGAAGAAAUAUAGCGUAGUUGCAUUUGCAUCUUAUCAGGUCCAUUCUGAAAGUCCCGAGACCCAACCUUUAUCCAUGAUUCAGCAACUAAAUACAAUUUCCACAAAAACCAUGUUUCUAAGCUCCCAAUCUAUAGGCAAUAUUCAAAAAGUGAUUUUGUUUCCCACCAUAAGAUACUCACAUAAGAAAUAAAUAAUAUCGCUUGCCACUAGCAUCUAUAGCUUAAUGCGAUGGGAAAGCCUAUUUAGUGUUUACAUGAGAUCCUAGAACAAAUUAACUUUAAGUAGAAGCUGCAAACAUGCACAUAUACAUUUUAUUAGCAGAAAGUUUCAAGAAAAAUAAAUCUCUUACAAAAGUUUUGUCUCACCUCCUUGCUCAAGUCAACUUAUAUAAAAGUUACAUAUUGUCUAUAUUCGCUUAUUUUUUCAUCUCUCGUUCUUUCUUAUUCAGACCAAGAAUCCCCCAUUUUAUAUAAAACUGCUCUUUCCUAUUGUGUGUAUAGUUGCAAACAUAUCAAAGGUUUGCAAGUAGAGUACAUUAGUCAAACUUAAGUCCUCUUAGGAUCGCAGAACUCCCUCUUACAAAGUUUCAAUAGCUCAACAAAGGUAGAUAGAGAUUCAAUUCAAAAGUAAUGUACUCCGUCUACUAUGCGAUAAUUGAUGCAAAUUUGGAAGAGAGGAAUGGUGUGGAUGAUUUUCCUCCACCAGUUUGGCAUUCACACAAAAUAAUUCAUCUUUGCAUCAACUGCAAGGUUCUCUCUAGUUGCUGCUUACUAGUUCACCAUUUUCCAUUCUCAGAAGUCUCUUCUUCAAAACCUGAAUAAUCAAUACUCUUUAAAAUCCUCUGAUCCUUAUAUUAAAUCCAAGUAAUCCGAUUCUCUAAUAAAUGGAUGUUCACCUUCAACAGAUCAAGAAUUGGGAAACAGAGAGCACUUAUGAGGGGGAAAAGAGGAGGGAAAAAAGAUGAUAUUGGACAAUUAUACUAAUUCAAGAACCUAAAAUCCAUAACCAAUUUUUAGCGCUCUAAACAUGUCCUGAGUCCCUGUAUUUUCAUUAUACUAGAAAACUUUCCCCUUUCAAAAUCUAGUUUGCCACAUAGAGAUUGAUACAAUAAUAGAAGCAGAAGGGACCUUUUUUUUUUUAAGGCAACAUUAGAACAAGUUUUCAACAUGAAGAAUGCACUGUACACGAGCAUCGCCCAGAAGUUAAAAUUACUGCAGCAACCUUCUCCAUUCAGUCAGCUGAUUGGCAUGAAUAUUAACAGCAUUUUUUUUCCCUUCAAAUAAUAUUGUGAACAAAUUUUGACUCCUCUCCAUUGAUGAAAUGCCCUAGUGUCUAUGCUAUCUCAACAAUACCAGAAUAACCAGAUGAGGCCAACUCAGUCAACACGUCAAACUGAGACAACUCCAGAGACAGUUUGAUUAGGUAGAUGUCUUUCAAAGCUGUAGUUAUAAUAGUCGACUUAAUUUCUUUAAUUAGUAAUUCUUCAAAGUGUCUUUACCUCUAAUUGCACCGCACUACAAUGGCAAACAAUUGUAAUGAGAUUGGGGAGUGCCCUAAAAAUGACAAACAAUUGUAAUGAGAUUGGGGAGUGCCCUAAACCUAUUGCACUUAUAACUCAAAGGCUUCAAAUUGUCUCCUUUAAAUUUCGCAAUCAUAGAAGCUACCGAAAUGCCAUGUAUUGCUUCAUUUGAAGAAUACAACAACUCAAACUCGACCAAAUGCUCCCUAUUUGCAAUACAUACAAUGGAAAAAAGGAAAUAGCAUUCUUCUUUUCUUACCUUCAUGAAAAUAAUUUUUUUAAAAAAAAAAGAAGUGAGGGAAACAAUCUUUUUCAGUGGACACCAACAAUUACAACGAUUCGCCCACAAUACCAUGCCAAGAAUCCAUCUUUUUCAGUGGAAAACAACAAUUGCACUGCGAUUCCCCCAAACUACCAUAUAAAGAAUCCAUCUUUUUCAGUAGAUAACGACAAUUGUAGCAAUUCCCCCACAAUAACGACAAUUCCCCUAACUAAAAAAACGAUGUAAAAGGAUCACAAUUCGCAGUGAGUACACAAACCUGAGGAAGGAGACGAACCCUUCGGCGGCGGCAUCGUCGGAGGGUCGAUGAGGGGCGCGUACAUGUACGAAUCGGAGACGAGGUACUCGGCGACGGCUCUCGCGAUCCCCGCACCCUUACACCGCCGCUUCGUCACUGGUUUCCUCCGCACUCCGAACGCUCUUCCUCCUCUUCCUCCUCCCUUCUCCAUCUCCUCUCUCUCUCUCUCCCUAAUCGCCUCUUCCGAAACCCUAGUUUCCGAUUUGUGAAACCCUAAUUCGUAGGAGGAGGAGACGGAGACGUGUCGCCGCGUGAGGGGAGAGGAGGGGGACGCGUGGGAGAGGGAAAGUAAGAGGGGAGUGGGGGUAGUUUAGUCAUUUUGCAAGAAACUGAGGCGGUUUAGAGUCAUUUCCCGCGCAUUUGUUAUUGGGCCACAUGGCAAGAACUUAGUAGGCCGCUUAUAUUGGGCUUUAGUGGACCCAAGUCAGAAGACGUCUCUUCUAGAGCCCACUUACUAUUGGGCCACUUUGGGCCCAAAUAACCUACUAACCUUUUUCCAAUAAUAAUAAUAAUAAUAAUAAUAAUAAUAAUAAUAAUCAAGUGUCUCCUCUAUAAUUAGUGUUAUGAACAAUGCUUCUUCCACCAGCCCAAUUAUUAUUUGUAUCCGCAUUCGCAUCAGUAACUGUUUAAUAUUCGCAAAAAAUUGUAUUCAGAAGAGAAUGGAUGGUAAAAAUCACUAUUCGACUCGUAUCUGAUCCGUUUUAACUCUUUAAAAGUGAGUUUCUCGUCAGCUUAAUCUAAUCGGUUUUCUUUUAACUAGCUUCCUGUUAAUCAUGGUUCUCGAAAUCGACGAGUUUUUUUGGUUUUUCAAGAGAAUUUCCAUGUAUUCAAUUCUCGAUCAUACUUUUCAUUUACAUUUGCACGUAAUGCUUAAGCUUAAGUUAGAUACCACAAGGACCGGUAUGCCGUACAAUGAAAAUCUUACUACAUUUCUUUUCUUUUUAGAACCAAAGCAUUGCGUGAUCUUUCAUGCAUAUUUGUUGAAAAAUAAAUAUGAUUAUGAAGAUGCUACAAGCACCUCAACCAUCAAAACAAAUAUAUUACUUCUGUCCUAAAAAAAGAGCAGAACAUAAGUCAAAAUGCUAGAUAAGUGAAUCUUACGCUUUAAACUCAAAAGUAUGAGAAAGACGCGUAAACAAACUUUUACUUACGUUUUCAUAUAUUUAUUGUAAUCAGAAUCUUAGUUGGAGAAAACUGAUGUGGAAUGAGUUCACUUAUUUUCUAAAACACAAUAUGAUGUAAAAUAAUGUGUAUUUUAAUUCUUCAAUUCUUCAGCUAGCCUGAAAAGGAGGGAAAAUUAUAUCGAAAGUCAUAAAAUUGAGUCCUGCACGCGUCUUAGAGAGUUAGAUACUCAUUGAAAAUAACAACUUUUCGACAGAGAAAUGGUUAUUGGUGUUUUAAAUACUGCAAUAUAUAUAUAAAAGAGUAUAACAAAAGAUCAGCUAUACGCAAUAUUCAUAUAUACAUAGUGUUUGAAGCAUGAUUUGCUCUGAUACCGCUUGUUGGAACCGUAUAAAUACCGAUUAUAUAAUCCAAGAUCUAAAAUAGAACAAAAUAAUAUGAAAAAAAGAUAUUGGAGAAGGAAGAAGAUAACUAAACUAAUACUUCAAUAAUAAAAGGCAAUUAAUUACAAUAUGUGUAACACCUAUGCAGCCAUAUCUAUUGUGGCUUAUUCAUCUAAUUAACUUAUGCCUAACAGAUGAUAAAUUCAAUUUUACUUUGGAUAACUACAAAUCUUACCCAUAAUCAAAUAAAGAUUUAAACUUAUCUGUAACUAUAUUUUAAUUAAGUAUGGAUUAUUAUUCCAACAUAUAGUAUAGAAACAAUGAUACCGUUACAUCACGAGAGACAAAGAAAAACAAGGUUCACGAAAUUUAAAACUAAAAUAAAAUAAAAUAAAAGUUUGUGCACGUGUUUAAGUGGGGAGUAUAAUUUAGCAACGACGUUGUUGCCUGAUUACAGUAAUAACAAAAAUAAAAAUUAUAAUUAUAAUUAUAAUAAUAAUAAUUAGAUGACGUAUCAAACGGGUUUGAGCCCGUGCUUCAACGCGGCGCGCCACACGAGGUCGAUCCGGUCCACGUCGAUGGGGCCCACCUCGUGGUGGGCCCAACCUUCGAGCAAGUGCACCACCCCUCCCGCGUGACACGCGUGCACCACCCCACGAUCCAACGUGUACUGUUUCACACGCAUUUUUUUAAUUAAUUAAUUGAAAUUUAAAACGAGUAACAAAAAUUUCCUUGCAAAAAAAUAAUCCCUCAAAAAAAAAAAAAGUAACACAAAUAGAAACCGAAAUUGGAAAUAAAAUAGAAAUGAUACGUCCUUUUCUUAUGUUUUUAAAUAUUAAUCUUAUAUGAUUUGAUACAUGAAGUGUUAUUUAAAUAUUAAUCUUAAAUAGAAAUCGAAAUUUGAAAAUUUUACUCUCAAUUGCAAAGUAAAGUUAUUUAAAAGACGGAAAAAGUAUGGUGGAUCAGACUUGUUCAAACAUAUUUACUUAGAUAAUAUUUCUGCAGAAACUUCAAAUUUAAGCAAAUGGGUCUAAAGAGGGGGAUUGUAUGUUACCUCGCACACUCCGAGCCCUUGUACAUCAUCGGGCAACUUCAUCGCAGCCAAUUUCCCGUAGGUGCAGUCCCGUCGGAAGCCGAUGAUCGGCGGGACCACAAAUUGGUGGAAGUGAGUGCCCGGAGGAGCCCACCGUUGCUCUCGCAGCGAUAGCCAUUUGCCGACGAUCCAUGUCUAAAGGAUGAAUACGCAUCAUCGUCGUAUCAAAGGGACGGUAAUGAAUCAUAUAUACAUAGACUUCACAAACAUAUGAGCAGUUUAACGAUAAGUAAUAUUAUUGGCAGACAAAUUUAUGGAAUUUGGUCAUCAUUUACUGGCUAAAUUUGAUCAAAUUGAAUGAAUCUAAUCUGUCGUUAGUUUAAAUGGCUUUAUAAUAUUACCUCUCCCGACUGGCGUGCGGAUGUACCCUACAAAAAGGGAAAAAUAGAAAUAGAAAAUGAAAUUGUACCUUACAAUUUUGCGCGGCUCGGUACUUAGUGACCUGAACAAGAUAGUGUUGGAACUCCUGGGGAGCUUCCUUCUGUAUCAUUUGAAACCUUUCCGUCGACAGCGUCAACAUCUACAUAUGCAAACCAAUUUCAACACCGAAACCAUAGAUUUUGAUCAUCUUUGAAUUAAACUCGACUAAAAUGUAUUGAAGAGAAUUGAUAAUCUCAUUCAUGGAACACAAUUCUUCCUGCAAUCUUCGAUACCUUCGAAUUAGUAAUUUUAUGUCAUCUCCUAGUACAUUCGAUCUUAUCUAAUUCAAUCCUAAGUACCAAAUGUUUCAAUAUAUCUUGCUUACCAAGACUCGAAUUCUUUUGCGGCACAAAUAGAGUGCGAUAGCUCUCCCUAGUUUAGAAGUUGCGCCUGUCAGGAAGACCUCUUUUGUAUCUUUUGGGAUAUCGUUGAGUAUUACAGCUGCCGUUAAGGUGUUACCAUGAACCACACGAACUUUGAGAUUCGGGUGUUUGUUCACAAAUAGCGCCCCUCCGCCAUUGAGUGCUUCGUUCUGCAUAAUAGAUCAAAUAAAUUUAAAAAAAAAAAUAGACAGUAAAACAAAAUAUCAAAAAAUGUUUGGUAGUGGUUUCAGAAAUAGCCAUAAUGCAAAAAAUGGUUGUUCACAAAUAGCCAUAAUGCAAAAAACAUCAAAAAAUGUUUGUUCACAAAUAGCGCCGCUCUUCUUUUUUUUUGUUUCCUUUCAAUUGUGCUUGAGACUCUUCUCCUCUACUGAAUUAUACUUCUAAUAAGCAUAUGUUAUUCCAUUCUAAAUAUUUUAUCACAUUUCUCUUCUACAUACCGUAUACUACGACUUCUUAAAAAAGUCAAAGAUAUACCUAAAUAAAAUAUUCAUGCAUUCAGACAGUACCCUAAUUUUUUCUCCUCCACCUCAGACGAAAUUAUAAAAGGUUCGAAGUAAAAAUAAAAAAUGGAACAUUGAAGGGAAAACAAUUAAACAAACCUUGUUUAGUGCAGCAAGGCUGAGGACCUUAACACCCAUCUUGUCAGCCCUCAGGAUGGCCAACUCAAUUUGGUCAUUGAUGCCAUCUUUAGCAAAUGGUAAGAAGUACUACAAAAAGAAUCAAACCAAUCCUUCAUCAGUUAAUCCUCCUAUAGUUUUGGACUUUUUUAUUUUACUAUCCUAUAGUUUAAAGUAUACUAAUUUAGUACCCCGUGGUUUCAUUUUUUUUCUUUUGAUUAUUUCAUUCGCUAAUUUUUUUCGUUAAACCAAUGACGAAGUUAAAAUCAAAAAGUACUAAAGUGAAUAUUCGAUAAACCUAGGUAUGAUAUCUGAAACUUUUUGUAUAUAAUUUAACGAAAUGUUAACGGAGGAACUGACGGAAAAAGAAUAAAAUAAAAUCACAGAGUACUAAAUUGAUACACUUUAAACCACAGGAUACUAAAGUACGAAACCACAAGAUUGGCAUACAAAGUUUUUCCUUAAAAUAUGUAGUAACCCACCCUCUCAACAAUUGUGCAUUUUGGAUUAGACCCCUUAACUUAAUUUUUUUAAAAAGAAAAACAAAAUUUUGGUUCAACCUUAUUGUUAAGUAAUAUAUGUAACUUUUGAUUUGAAAAUAUUUUGGUUUAACCUGGAAUCCGUAACGGGGAACCGCCCAAAUUUGGUGGACGGCGCCUCGAAGGGUGUAGAAGGAGAUGAGGAAGGUCUUGGACCAGGCCCACAUCAUGAGCAUGACCACGAACGCGAUCGGCCACAUCGGCACCAUGAAGGGCCGGAACCUGUACGGCAUCGCGCAGAGCGAGCGGUACAGGAAUGGCACGUGCAUCGACUGCCCUACGUCCACCACGUGUCCCAGGAACACGAAGUCCGGAGCUCCAUCGUUCUUCCCUGCACAGUCACAAGAUAAUAAUCUGGCUAGAGCGUAACUGAACAACUUUUCAGUAAUCAAAGCGUGCGUGCAUGCGUUGGGAGAUCCGAGUGCUCAAAAAUCGAAAUGCGUCUGUUUCUUUGUUUUCCCUUUUUUUACUCGAGGCCCGGCUACGGCAGUCUGUAGCCAGGUUCAUUUUCUAACUGAAUGAAGUGGUGGCAUGCUAUCUUUUUUUCAAACAAAAGUAUAUAGAGUGAGACUAUUAUGCUAUCGGAAGCACGGAGCCUUCCGUGCUUCCAACUCGUUUUCGAUAUUGCGGCUUUCGAAUCGUCGAUCGGCUCCGUUAAACUUGAUCUAGAGUAUUUGAAGUAUCUAGAAAAUAAAUUUUAUAAUUUUACGAUAUCAUUUGCCUAGUGAACGAAGGGGCUCAAAAUCAACGGCUGAAAAUAAAAAUCUUACAAAAUAUAAUAAUAUGACAUUAAAAUUUUAAAUCAAAGAUAUUGAUCUUGUUUUAUAUAGUAUAAAGAAUUUUCUAUCAAAAUUUUACGUGAUUUGAAUACUUCUACACCGUUAAACUUGCAAACGGCUCACUACGGCUAUUGAAAUUUGUUGAUUUUGAGUCCAUUCGAUCACUAGGCAAAUGAUAUCGUAAAAUCAUAAAAUUUAUUUUCUAGGUACUCCAAAUACUCUAGAUCAAGUUUAACGAAGCCGAUCGACGAUUCGAAAGUUGCAACAUCGAAAACGACCUGGAAGCACGAAAGGCUCCGUGCUUCCGAUAGCAUAGUAGCCUCACUCAAGUAGAGUAUAUAUAUCCCUAUUAUAUGAUUUUGUCAUUGUUUUAUGUGUGUUACAUAAUGAUUCACAGGGCCUAGUAAACUGCACGGGUGAGACAGGUAAUUAAGUGUGAUUUUGAAAUGGUCCACCUUUUACAAUGUAUCUAGUACAAAAUUUAUGGCUAAAUAUAUAGCCGGGCUACAACAAUGUACGUAUCUAGUACAAAAUUUAUGGCUAAAUAGCUGGGCUACUAGUAUCUAGUAUAAAAUUUAUGGCUAAAUAGCCGGCCUACUGGUCCCCAAAUUUUGGCCAAGUUAAUUUUACUUAGUGAUCAUCAAACUUUUUUUAGGUUUGGUAUUUGAUUCUAUAGAACGAAUCUAAUCCUUAUUUAAUUACUAUUAAAAAAAUAAUUGUAUGUUAUGUAUUUAACGACUCAUUUCCAUCGAUCGAUCUCAUGUGCUAAUCUUACUGUCCCAUCCAUUACGGUCUUUUCAAUAAUCAUAAAUUAAAAUAUUAUAUUAAAAGUAUGAAAUGGAUGGACGACUGAUAGAUUUACAAACACAGACAAAAAUAUAAAUAAGUUGCGCACAAUAUUUUUUUUUUUAAGAAUCUAUUAAACUUCGAGGACCAAAAAAACGAAGCAAGACCCUUAUAAAUAUAUUGCAUAUCCAUGUAAUUAGGUUGGCCGAGAAUUAAAUGUGUUGUGUCACUCUAGCAUGCAAUGCUCCUGAUUACAAAAAUAUUUCUACAAUACUAAGUCAAAAUAUGCAUUACUCACCUUUUUCUGUAAAUAUAAUAAUAUAUAUAUUUCUUCAAAGGAUCCAUAGUCCUUUAUUGUAAGGAUCUUUAUUUCAAGUUCAAAUUCAACUAAAAGAAUAUUUUUAUAAUAGUAAGUCAAAAUAUAUAUACAGUAAUAUAAUAUAUUCUUUCAAAGGACCCAUACUCCUUAAUUAAUUUUAAGAGUUGAAAUUCAACAGAUACAAUUUAAUGAUCCAUCUCCCAACCAAUCCAAGGAAGGUCCUUAUCAUCUUCUUGGUCCUGGAGUUGAUUGGUUGAGUUCACAAGAAAUUGACACUGGUCAAUUAAUUAAGAUGUGUGUUACAAGUUGUAUGCAAAUUGGUUUCAAUUAGCCAUCACUAGUGAAAAAUUCGCGCUUCGUAGCCGCCACAAAAUAAUUUUAUAAAAUUUAUAUAAUAUUUAUUUAUUAGAUUUUUAUCGAUCUAUAUAUAUAAUGAAAACGGAGAAAAAGACGUGGACAACUAAAUACGAAUCAAAAUAUCUUGUGUAGUUGUCAUUUGAACAUCAUAUUGUUUUCUUAUCUAAUUUUAUUUAAUUUUAAAACUAGAAUCUUCUAAUUAUAAUUGCAAAUAAAAUUUUCCUAUUUAACUAAUCUAUCUCCAAAAUAAAGACUACAAAGUUUCUAUCAUUUAUUUCAAUAUAUUUUUUUAUGAAUAAAUAUUAAUUUUUUACUAUAAUCUACAAAAUUGGAUAUUAUUCAUGCAGCACAAAUUCAUCACAAAUUAUUUUAUAAAAUAAAAUAUAUACAAAUAUUUUAAGAUUGUAUUUGUAAAUAGCUAUCUAGAUGUCAAAUGCUAGGAUUCACUCAGUUGUCUUAUUAUUAUUUUUUAAUACAAAAAAUCCAAAGGAGCUUUUCAAACCCUCAAAUGUAAGAGUGUAAGAUGUACGCUCCAAUGUGCUGUACAGGUAGCAUUUUUCAAUGCCAAAAACUAAAUAGGCAGGCUAUGUAUGUAGAAUCUAAGCAGGGGUAUUAUGGUAGUUUAAUGUCACACACUUAUAUAAAGCAUAAUAUAUUGAGCAUUGCUCCUCCAUAUAUAUAUCCUAAAACCAAUUAGUUGGGGUUAUUUAUGUUAUAAAUUUGCUCAAUUUGUCCAUGUGUUUCAUUUGUUGGAAUGUUGUUGGUGUUCAUUAAAGAUAAUAUUGGUUGGAGUAACUUAUGCCCAAAAUAUGCUUUACCUAAUUGCAAAAGUGAUAGCUAGGAAGUAGACAAACCAACUACUUGGAUUAUCAUUCUAGCUUUGGACAUCUUAGAAGUUGUGGAAUAAGCUUUCUUUAUUCAGACAGAUAAAUGAAAAUGAAAAGAAACGGCACUAGUAUUAAUUGCAAUAGUUAUACAGCGCAACGAGAGCUUGGAUAUCGAUUGUUUUCAGUAUAACCAUUUGAAAAUACGUAAGAUUCUGUCUAAAGAUACAAAAUCUUCCUUAAUUUAGACAGGUGAAUGAAAACGAGAAGAAAUAACUUUUGGACAAUUCACAUUUAUACAACGCAACAAGAGCUUGGAUAUCGAUUGUUUUUAGUAUAACUGUUUGAAAAAACAUAAGAUUCUGUUUAAGAAUAUAUCAGAUUCCUUCAUUUAGACAGAUUAAUGAGAAUGAAAAGAAGUGACUCUCGGAUUAUUCACAAUUAUACAUCGCAACAAGAGGUUGGAUAUCUAUUAUUUUCAGUUUGACUAUUUGAACAUAACAUAAGAUUCAACACUAAGAAUUCAUAAGCUUUCUUAAUUUAAGAUGGAUGAAAAUGAAAGAAAAGGCACUUGGAUCAACUGCAACUGCAGAGUGCUACAAGAGCUUGGAUAUCUAUUGUUUUCAGUAUAACUGUUUGGAAAAGCAUAAGAUUAUGUAUUAAUUAAGAGUUCAUAAACUCAUUUCGACUUUCUACAAUAGAAGUCAAAUGCAUGUAUCCUAUCUUAUAGACCAACCAAGCCAAACAUGCUUAAAUAUCAUCAUUCUUUAUAACCUUUGGUUCUUAGAAAAAAUAAUUACUUUUUUUAGUAUUAGAUCAAAAGGUCAUAAGUUCAAAUCCUACCAUGAUUUAAUCUCUUUUUAUUUAAUUACAAUUCAUGUCAUGGACCUAGUAAAGAGUCUGGAAUCCAAACGUGAUAAAUAUGUCGAAUUUAAAAAUACUAUUAGCAUUUUUCUCUAUUUAGAAUAAUUGGUUUUUUCAUAAAACAGAAACUAUAUAUGGAAAAAAGAAAAACAUCUCUGUUUUAAUUUUGAGGAUCAUAAUUAAUGAUAUAAUUACCUGCAAAUAUCUCCCUAUGUAGCUCCCAAGAUUUGGGGUGAAGUGUUCCUCCCAAAAGAUCAAAUAUAGGCAUAAAUAGACAAAAAUUAGAGUUCUUCUCCACAUGGUGAAUACUAUGAUACCUGCAAAUAAAAAUUUAUUUGUAACUUUAGUUAUUAGUUUUUAAGAAAAAGAUUAAUCCAAUUUCUUGAUCUACUUAAAAUACUGUUGAACAACUAUCUAUCUAGAGAAAAAGGAAAUAGUGUGGAAAAAAAGAAAUAAAAGAUCUUAAUUAAGCAAUAAUUUCACCUCUUCACUUUUUCUAAGGUGCGAAUUUGUGAGAUAAAAAAUGCAAGAUCGAUACCGAUCAUUAUCUUGAUAUGAUAUGAAAAAAAACUAAUUGUUUACAGUGAUGACACAAAAAUGAAAGAUAAUUAAUGUUUAUAAUUAAACAUAGGGCAAUAAUGCUACUCAGUUGUCGACAAUUCACACUCAAAGUAACACUCGACAAAAGUCAUAUAUUUAACUAGUAACAACAUGGUACAUUCUAAUUUUAAUAAAAUUACUAAACUAGAAUUUUUGUUUUUAGCUAAUGUGUAAAGAAGCUAUAUAUAAAGAAAUUUUACAAGUGAAAAUUAUUAAAUUUCUCAGUAAAGUUCUUCUUCCCAAACAGCACUUUUACAAAAUCUCUAAUGAAUUUAAUGUUGUGUAGCUUCCAAGCUAGUAACAUUUUUGUCUCUAUAAUCAAACUUGGAAGCAAAUUAAAGUUUUCUUAGAUUGUAUAUGCUAUUUAUAUAACAUUUUAAGACAAACCCAUUUUAGCCAACACCUGAAAUAUCGAUCACUAUUGUAAAACAAUUGAUUAUGCCAAAAUUUUAACCCCCUCCUAUUCUAAUACAAUGCGAAGUAAUUAAUUAACUGAUAAUUCUAAUUAAGCUGUUAGAUAACGGCAUGCAUGAUCGCUUACGUUGGAGUGCAGAUGAGGUAUCUAAGGGUGGGGAAGGCAUCAAAGAUCACACUGGGCACCACCUCAAUAUUGCUAUGCCCCAUCCCUCUUAGGAAAUCAAAGAGCCAAACAUAUCCAAAUAUGAGUCCAUAAGAUCCCCACCCCAAUAAGCAAGAACCAAAUAUGGGCACACCCUUGAUAAUACUCAACACAAUGCUCUCCAAUGGGGUGACAAAUCCAGCUGCCAUAAACAACAGAAAAAAGGUAAAAAAAAAGAAAAAAAAAAGAAAAAAAAAAAAGAGAGAGAGAGGGAAUAAGACAAAAUCACACAACUCAGCAUCAUUUAAACUCUAAUUUGGAGGGAUUUGUGAAGAGGAGAUACGAGACAAGAAGAAAUUAUUGAUUGCACCUGUUGCGUCCUUAUAUGUAGGAAAUUGACAUUGAUAGAGUUGACUGUGUCUCCACCAAAUCAGACAUAGAUUAAUUUAUAAAAUGCUCUCACAAUAUCAGCUCUUAUGUAUUUAUAUAUUGCAUGCAUAUUUAUUGGCACUUGUUCUCAUCUUAUACUUUCAAUCUAAUUAAGCAUUUAGUUUUAAAAUAAAAGGUACAACUUAUUGGACACAGCUAAUAUAUAGGUGGUGAAACCGCCAAUCAGUAGAACAGCUUGGUAGGUAGAUAUAUAUAUCUUAUUUCUAAACUAAUGGGUCUGCAAUUUGAAUCACGUUUUAUGUUAUAACCAAAAAAAAGAAAAAACAGGAAAUAAUUUUUUUUUCUUUUCAAAAAAGGUUAUAUAUAUAUAUAUAAAAUUAGACUGGAAUGCUUCUAAUAGUACCAAGUUAUUGGUGCUAUUAGGUUUUCGGUUCUUAGAUGAAGGGAUGUGCGGCUAGGAUGAUAGUGGUCCCCUAGAGUUGAGUGUGUGGUUGAUUGAAUAGUAUGAUCUAACGGAUGAAAAUGAUCAAAGGGGUAAAUUUUACGGUGAAAAAUUUGAUAGCACAAAAUGCUUGGCGUUAUUAGAAACACCCCGGCCGAACUCAUAUAUAUAGAACUAGGCUAUAAUACUAUUAAUAUCAUCAAAUCAUUGGUGCUAUUACGUUUUCAGCCUUUGGAUAAAGCGAUGUAUGAUAGUGGUUUUGUAGAGUUGAGUGGAUAGUUGGUUGAACAGUAUAAUCUAAUAAGUAAAAAUGAUUAAAGAGAUAGAUCAAACAGUAGAAAACUUGGUAGUACAAAGUAAUUGAUGCUAUCCAUAGAAUUGUAGCCGCACUCUAUAUAUAUAUAUAUAUAUAUAUAUAUAUAUAUAUAUAAUUAAGAAAGCUUAUUUUGUUUUUUAAUACCUGUAAAGGACUGAGGCACCUUUGAGGAGUGGUGGAGAGAGUGGUAGAGAGAGAAGAGGUUGCCUCUGUGGAAUAUUUCUCUAUGCACCCAAUAAUACAAAGGCUCUGAUACUCCCACAUGAAGAACAAAAGCCAUGCAAACACCUCUCAAAUCCCUUAGAGGGAGCUCUCUCAAAUAAGGAAACCAAGAAAAAGCCAUUGCUCCAAUGAAACAUUCAAGUAUUAUAAAAUUAUCCCUGCCCAAAAAAAUUAAAAAUAAAAAUUUAAAUUCUAUCAAAUAACCAUGAAAAAUAAUGGCCUAAAUUUUAACACUAAACACAUAAAAAAUAUAUAUAUGUAUAUAUAAAAUCCAUACCAAUCCCACUCUUUGUCAAUUUGAUCAAAAUCAACCCCAUCCUUAAAAAUCCGGCGCCGCCGAUUGAGGAAGAGCAUGUUGCUAAAUGAGCACAAGUUUAGGUGGAUGAGAGCUCUAAGGAAACAUAGAAGCAGAAGAUAAAAACACCAUUUAUGUGAGCUGUUACUCUCCCAUGCCUUUGAGAUUAUAACCUUUGCUAUAAGUGGCCCAUAUAGAAGAUACUGCAAAAAUAAACUUAAACCAUGUUAAAUUAAUAUAACACAAAAAACAAAGGCCAAAAAAACAAUAUAUAUAUAUAUAUAUAUAUAGUGAAAGAGAGUGUGUGUGAGAUAGAAGGAUGUAUAUGCAUGCCUUGUAGACACCAAAGUUUUCCCAUGGCCAAGAAGAUAAAGGAGCACCCAUUUUUCUUUUUUUCUUUUUUUUUUGUUUCUCUUUUUUUUUUCUAAGAGGAGGAGAAGGAAAGGAUCUAGUGGUUACUUUGUGUUUGUAUUGUGAGGAUGGAUGUGGCACCAAAAAUGGGUGUAUAUAUAUAAAUAUAUGUAUCCAUAUGUAUAGUUUGUAUAAGAAGCCAGGGUAACUUCUCAAUAAAUAUUGGGUGGAUGGGGAAUCAAUAAAUAAAAUAAAUGAAAUGUUUCACCAAAUCUGUUGGUGGUGUAGUGUUUGGUUAACCAAGGCUUAGUCAACAUUGGUGAUGUAGAAGGGAAUUGGUCUCUUCUCAUUGGAGUCAAUUUUGUGCUGCUUUUAUUUUUAUUUUUAUUUGUAGAUGCAAUUAUAUGUAAUAGAUAUUUUGUGAUUGGAAAAGUACAAAUGAGUAGAAUGAUUACAAAGACAAGUCAACAGGGUUUAGUAUGUAGAAUGAUUACGAGGACAAGUUAUAGGGUUUUAUUUAAUAAUAUUGUAUCUUGUGAACAACCAAUAACUUUUUUUUUUUUUUUUUUUGGUCUUUGAUGAGACGAGAAAACAAAACAAAAAUUAAUUACAUGCUACACACGCAAAAUAAUUGUCCAAAAUCGAAUCUUGAAAAAAUGAAUAUGUUAGUGUGAUUUUUAUAUAUAUGAGCCAAAGUCAGAACUACGGAGACGAAUCCAAUCAAAUAAGAAUAUUUCCUAUGAUUAAUAAAUUUUGUACAAAAAUGCAUGUAUUCAUGCUAUCAUUGCAAUUAAUUACUAAUCCUUUCAACAAGUAAAUAUUCUUACUCAACAUUGCCCAAGUAAAAUUAUCUAAAUAAAAAGCUUAUAUUUUGGUAACAUUUGUCUCUUUAAAAAAGGAAAAAAAAACAGUCACGUACCCUUUUCUAAUGUUACAAUUUUGUAAUUGUGACAACGUAUAUAAUUAGUUCCCUACAUCAUUUUCGUGAAAAAUUUUAUAGAAACCCUCAACUUUUAUCGCGGGCCAUGCAAGUUCUUGUUUUUUUCUUUUUGAUUAAAAUUUUCGUAAUUUUUAAUUGUUUUAAUGUGAACUCUUUCGUCGAGUUGAAUUGGAAAGUCAUUAAAAAAUACCAUCUUUAUAACCCUGGCUAAAAAAAACUUCAAUUUAAUUUCUAAAAAUUAUCUAAAUACAAAUAAUUGAAGGUUAAAAAAGGCGCAAUUAAAAGAAUUAGUUGAGGGGCCUAUUUCAAAACUCUCUAUAAUUGUAGAACAAAAUCCAAAACCCGUAUUUAUUUAUCAGGAUUAAUCAACAAACUCUGAGCCAUUCGUGCUGGUGCAAAGGAAUCAAGGGCAAUGUUAAAUUUGCAUAAAGAUGCUCACAAUAUUCUGAUGCUACAAAGAGGUCCUUGAACUUAAAAUUUGCGCAGUUUUACAAUUAGAUGCUUAAUCUUUAGAAUUAAUAUUGCACCAUUUAUCCAUAAUAUACUUUUACUGAUAUUUUCACUUUGAUCCCUGACCUCUUCUCCAAUUUGCACAUCCAUCGUUCCAAUCCAAGCUCACCCAUCUUCAAAGUCAUUCUAGCUCUGCGCCUACGUGUGAGACCCCAGAUAGUCCUAUAUAUAAGAUAUAAUAGGGCUAAAAUUCUUAACCCGACUUAAACAUUUUUUGUGAUGGUAAGGUCCAAGAGGUUAAGAGAGUUAAGCGUGUUAGGAUGAAAGUAACCCUAGGAUGGGUGACCGCCUGGAAAGCUGGGGUGUCACAGUUGGUAUCAGCAUCAAAGCCAAUUACCAGCCGGAAGUGUAAGAUGAGUCUCAGCUGAGGCAGGAUCGGAAUGACAAGACUAGUGAAAGUCUCACAUCGCCUGCUAUUUGUGUGUCUGAGCCUGACGAGAACGUCAGGACCUAAAGGGGAGGAAAUUAAUGUGAGACCCCAGAUCGUCCUAUAUAAAAUUCUUAAUCCGACUUAAAUUUUUUGGGUGGUGACAAGACCCAAGAGGUUAAUAGAGUUAAGCGUGCUAGGACGGGAGUAGUCUUAGGAUGAGUGACCUCCUGGAAAGCUGGGGCGUCACACUACGACCACCUAGACCUCGCAAAAAAUAUCUAUUCUCUAGUCUAGAGCUUUUGACGUCUUAGUUUUAUGUCGAUCGAGUGCGUCACGAAACUCUUCUAGAAAUUUGAAAAAUUAAAGUUGAUGCUGAGAUCAACGCUAAGGGCUGUGGAGAAGAAGGAAAUUAAAAGCAGUGGAGGAGGAGGGGGAGGGAGAGGAAAGGGGCUAUGACGUCAUCGAAAGAGUUGAGAUCGAGGGACGAGAGAGGGGAACAAAUAAUUUUGGUUAGAUUUCUAAAAUUUUGAAUAUGCAAAAUAAAAAAACAAGGACUGAUUUUGCAGAAACGUAAAACUAAUAAAUUUUUUAUGCAAAUUGGCUAUAAAUAUGUAUAUUUUUAGAAGAGAUAUAUAAGCCACAUAGAGUAUCAUUGACAUGAAAGUAAAUGUAUAUAACAAUAUUAGUAGAAACUAAAAGUUGUUGAUCAAAUAAACAUUGUUCUUCAUAGUCAAAUCAAUUAAAUAAAAUAUGUAAAAUAUGUGUGCGCAUUAUAUAUAUAUUAUAUAUUUUAUAUUAUAUAUUAUUAGGAUCAAUAAAUCGAGGUGGUUGUUCCGUAAACGAGCACAGGCUCAAAUUAAUAGCCACAUGACAAAGUGUUAUUCACGUUCACACACUUUCAAUAUUGUGGUCACGUAUAGUACUACAAAAUAUAAACAUGUAUAUACAAACAUACGGAGAAUUUGAUAUAGAUAGAGGUAGUUCUAACACUUAACUAGCUAGAAGAUUCGAGAAGGUUCUAUAAAUUCCACGUACGUACUUUUUUGAGCUCUCUUAUCACGCUUCCCAAUGUGCUACAAUCUUCGAGACUUUCUCUUAUCUAAGUUGCCAUCCUUAAGGUCAAAAUAUAUCUAACUCCUUGUUUGGUAUUAAAUUUAUAUAAAAUAAUUACUUUUUCUAUAAGUUAAGGAUACGAUCUCGAACUCAAAAUUUUUUACACUGAUACUAUGUUAAAUUAUAUAAAAUAAUUAUUUUUCUUCAAAAGUUUAAGGGGGAGUUUAGUUUAGUGUAAAAACGAAGCUGAAAAUUAUUUUCGGUCUAAAAAAUAUUUUUCACUUACUUGAUUCGAUGCAAAAUAAUUUUUUCAUAAAAAUACCUUUACAGAUAUGAAAAAAGAUUUCAUUUUUUGCUGAAGGAGAAUAAUAUAUAUAAUAUUUUUUUUUCUACAAACCAAACGUUAAAAAGUGUAAAAAAAAAAUUCCGUCAAAAACUCUUUUCCACCGAAAAUUAUUUUUCAUAACUCUAUACAUUAAAUCAAAACAAACCUUAAGCUACUAGAGAAUGAUAUUUUUAAUAAUCAUAUAUAUUUAAGUAUCUGUAUUUGAUUUGUCUAGAUAGUCGUCUUUAAAAUCAAGAAUUUGAUUUUUGCUUGUGCUUUCAAAAAAUAAAGCUAAUAUCUUUGACUUUUUGAUAUUAAACAUAGCAUAUUUAUUUAAGGGAAUCAGGAUUAGAGCUUUAAAGAUAAACUAAAAAAAAUAUAAUGCUAUUUUUAGUACUAUAAAAUGUUUUAUAUAUUUUUUUCAUCUAAACACUUUAAUUAUUUUGAGCUAACAACUACUCAGCCACUUAUAAUUUAGAUAUAGUUUUCACCUCAUUUACUAUCACAUUGAUUUUUUUUAUGUAAUAUGAUGUAGAACUAAUUCUGAACCACUUCAUUUUAUGUGGUUGUUGAUUCGAUCUCUAUAUAUUAUCUUUAUUCAACGAAGAAGUUUUUGAUCCUGCGAAACUUUUCUGAGUUAGCUCAAAAAUAUAUAUUAUGCAAAAUAAUUGAUAAUUUAACAUUUCAAAGUGAAGGCAAAGUAAAGAAAUUUCUUCUUUUUUAAAAAAAUUGUUGAAUGCCAAAUAAUUUCUUUAAAUGGUUGAAAGCGAAUUGUAAUUCAUAAAAAAAAAAAUCAGAAAUAAAAAUAUUUUGAAAAAUACAAAAAAUUAAGUUGCAAUAAUAGGAUUGUUAGGACUAAUCAAUGCAUAUUUUCCUUAUUAUUUUGUCAUUCAUUUAUUGAGAGAGUUAUUAAUUACUGUGUACAAACAUUUAUUAAGACAAGGGACUAAACAACUAAAACCUCAAGCAUAUAUAACUUUAAGAACCCAAAUUAACCAUGAAAAUUGGAAAGGGAAAAUUGCACCCAUAGUCCCUGACCUAUCAGCCAAGUUUUAUUUGGUCCUCAAACUUUCACGCAUAAAUUAUUGCCUACACCCAGUGUAUCUGUACAUCUCUGCAUUAUAGAUUAAUUAUGGACUAUUUUUCGCAUCACAUAUUUCAACCCUACUGCUCGUUGUGAAUUUUUUGGUUCGAUACUUUAACGAGUCAGCUCGUAUUCUCAUGUUCGGUUCGUUUAUGAAAAACAAGUCGAAUACGACCCGACCCUGACUUGCUCGUAUUCAGCUCGUUGACACACCUACCACAAAGGAAUAGUCUCUUUGACUGUUUAACAUAAGCAAUGCAUGAAUUUUUAAACAGCGAUGAACGAUUGAUUACGAAGGUUACGAAAAAUAAUUAAACAUUAAACAAAGAACCAUUAUAUAUAUAUAUNAGGAAUUAGUGUUUUUAAGUUUUUAACCCUUAGAUCAACUCCUUUAUCAUUUCUAACAUUUUAAGUUAAUAUUAUUUUCCUGUUGGGACUACUAAAUCCUAUAGGAGACUACUGAACCGUAAGAUAACCACUAUCAUCCCAACUAUACAGUUAUUGAUCCAAGGGCCAAAAAGUUAAAAAUAACAACUCCUUUAUACUUUUGAAAGUAUAGUAGCUCUACACUAUAUAUAUAUUUAUAUAUCGGUCCGUGGUGAGGGCUAAGGGUAUUGGGCCAAAUUGAAAGCAAUCACGCAACUGGGCUUGGGCUUGGAUAAUGAGGCACUUCAACUCGGGAUCAGGUAUAGAAGGCCUAGCUUGCGACGUAAAAAAAAAUGUGAAACUAUAUGCUUCUAAAAGUAGCUACUUUCGACUUCCAGGCACCUGAAGCCAUAAUAAAAUCACCAUCAUAUCGCAAACCCUAUUGAUCCGACGGUCAAAAAGUUGGAAGUAGCACACUUUGAGAAGCACUUAAGCCCAAUGCAAAGUAUCAAGAUCACCCUCAAUUUUGGCUUGAAUACACUUAACCAUAAAAAAUUUAAAUAAGUUAAAGUAAAAAAGAAAGAAACUACAUGAACUUUCCAAUUUUUUCAAUUAUUUAUCCCACUGCUAUUUUUGCAAAAUUUUAUAACUAAUUACAGGAAUCACAACCUCUUUUUUUUUUAAACUUAUUAAAGUAUAUACACUGACUAAAUGUAAUCAGUUUACUCCAAUAUGCCAAUAAUUUCAAAGUAUAAUCCGGCAAAGUAAUCUUUAAUCUUGUGGUAUUGAUAUUUUAAUUUGAUAAACCGACAGUGUCAACGCCUUUUAAGGACCUGUUUGAUACUGAGGACUAUCUGAUAAUUAGGGAUGUAAAACGGGCCGGACGGCAUGUGGGCUGCCGGACCCAGCACCGCCUCGGGCCGAGCUACAGCAAGGCACGAGUACAAUAGCACCCGGGCCAGGCCGGCCCGGCACGGCCUCGGGCUGGGCUACAGCACAAACAGGUACUGUAACACUUGUGCCUGGCCGGCCCGACCCGAGGCUCUGAGCCGUGAUGGGCCAUAUUUUUGGAGCCCGACAGCCCGACAUGGCAUGGCCCGAAAUGGGCCUGAGCCAUGCCCGGCAGUAGGGCCAGCCCGGCCCGCACCCCAUGCCAUGGGGUCUAAGCGCGGCCCUUCUCCCCAGGAGCUCUCCACCCAAGGUCUGCCAGACCUUGGGAGGAGGACUUUUGGUCCAAUGGAGACAAUUUGGUCCAUUGGACCAAAAGUCAAUUUCAUUUUUAAAAAAAAAAUAAUAAUAAUACAAAUUUAUUUAUUUUUUAAAAAAUAAAUAUUUAUUUUAGUAUAAUUAUUUUUAUAAUUUUUUAAUAUUUUAAUCAAAAUAUUAAUUUAAAUAAAAAUAUUUAUUGUUUAUAUUUUUAAAUUUCAUACUAAAUUUUUUUAAAAAAUUUUAAAAAUAAAUACUUUACUAGGCCGGCCUGGAGCACGGCCCGUGCCUUCCAGGCGAAAGGGCCAUGCCGGGCCAGAGGUUAGACAACUUGGGCCCGGCACGGCCCAGCUCGAAAUUAAAUCCGAGCUGGGCUGGGCCGGACCUAGCCCGUUUCGGUUCGAAAAAUGUAGUAUUAUUCGAUCAAAAUGAACUAAUUAAGAAAACCAAAAGAACAUAUCAAUAUAGACGAUUCUCCGUUUUUGGCAGGAGAACAAAAACCGUCUCAUACCCAAAUCGUUGCGAUUUACGUAACGUGUUUACCAAAACAAACGUAAUAUCUUUUUAUCGAGUGAAAAGUGGCAAAUCGAAAAUGGUUGACAUUGAGUUGUGAUAGGAACUGCGGCCAACAAGAAACUCUAUGUCAACUGAUAAAGUUAUGAUAGAAAAAUAUAAUAUUUUUGAUCGUCGAUAUGUCAUCCAGUAUAUAAUAUAUCCGCACGUAAUAUAUAAAUUUAUAAGCACAUUAGCAGGUUAAAAAAACAACAUUAAUUAUGCAUGACAUCUAAGAUGAGAUUGCUGAGUCAUUCUCCAUUUGUUUAGCAAUUAAUUGGAUAGUUCCUCACGGGUCUUAAACUUUCUUUUGUUUGCAUGUGGUUUUCGAACGCAUUAAUUAAGCAAAGCAACUAGAUCUUAUCUAUGUAUGCUGAUAAUUUGCUGAGUCAUUGCCCCAAUUUUCUUUACAAUUAGCUACCUAAAAUACCAAUUUUUACCGACCAUCCCUAAAGCAAGUGGCAAAGGGCUUGAUGGUUGGUACCCGAGACUCAAGUUCGAAUCCUAGUUGAUUCACAUUUCCAGCUAAGUUUAUUUCUAAAUGAAAUAAACGAAACGGGUUGCGUGUUACCUAUCUCUCAAAAAAAAAAAAAAGUUCUUUCAACAGUUAGGCUUUUUUUAUAUAUAGGACCGUAAAUCUUACAUCUCUUUCGUUCAAGAGUCCACAAAUUUUUUUUAAAGAUUUUUCAGUAUUGAAAUUUUAUAUGUACAUCUUAUAUAUAGGUAUCAAUCUUACCCCUCUUCCAUCAAAUAGCCCAAUUUUUUUUUAUUUUUUUAAUAUUAGAAAAAAAUUGAUAAGNAUAUAUAUAUAUAUAUAUAUAUAUAUAUAUAUAUAUAUAUAUAUAUAUAUAUAUAUAUAUAUUGGUAAUUUCAUAACAAAUUAACAAAAAUAAAGGAUAUAUAUAUAUAGAAACAAGGGUGUUUAUAUUUUCAGUGUAUUUUUACACUAUUUCUCUUUGAACUUCAGUGGAAAUGUUAAAGGUUUCAGAUCCAAUCAAAAAGCUUAAGCUACAUAUCUGGUGAAAAAAAAAAUCUAUACUGACCAUAAAUCUAAUUUGUAUUUAUAUGGAUUUAAUACUUUUAACGCAAAUGAUCGUAUUUUUUUUAAACAAGAACAAAUCUCUUUACUUUUGUAUCAUGUGCUUACAAGCAAUAUGAACUUACAAGUAUAUAGCAAUUUCUAGAUUAAAACAGAUAUCAUUGUACCAUUUUUUUUUUCCCUAAAAGGUAAAAUUUUAAAAGUGUUUUAUCUUCUUCAAGGAGAUAGAUUGCCUAUUGACCAUAAUCUUACUCCAAUAUUUUUAUCAUAAGUAGCAAAAAAACUUAAUGGUUGGUAUCUGAAAUCGUAAUUAAGUUUCGAAUCUAAUUUUUUUCUCAUCUCCAGCUAAGUUCAUUUAUAAAAAUAAAAUUGAACGAAGUGGACAGCAUACUGCUAUUCUGUCAAAAAAAAAGAUAAACUUUAGUUUGCCCUCCUAUAAUUUAGUUUUCUGUGAUUUAAAAAAUUAUACUUAACUAUCCUGUAAUUUAACUUACUUUUAUUUUGUUACUCUGUGAUUCAAAAACUUACUACUAUAUGGUUGCCAAAAAAUUUUACUUUGUUACUAUAUUUGAUAGUAAAUUUUUUUAUAUUAAAAUGGAGAUAAAAUUAUAAAAUAAUUAAGUAUAACUUUUUCAAUCAUAGAAUAGAAUGAUAAAGUAAAAAAUAAGUUAAUUAGGAGAUAAAUUAAAAUUUAUUCAUAUUCACUACAACAGAAUUAGGUUAUAGGGACACAUACUUAGGACACUUUUGUGUAAGUGUCCCAUUUAUGCCAAAACUUAAAAAAAUAUCUACUAAUGCUUAAAUAUAAAGCCCAAUCCAACAAAAAAUAAAAGGUUACUCUACUCAACCUACCCCAUUCAACCUAUUCGGCCUGAUUACAAAUAGAAAAGAAAAAAAAAGAAAAAUCGAUUACAAUCUCUCCUUCUCCUCUCACUUAAUCCACUGAAAUUCUAGACGAAUAGCCCUUCCCUCUCGUCCUCCACCGCCACCGCAGCCAACAAAAUAGAGUUUCGGUGGUUGAUUAAUGCUUAAAUAAAUAUUAGUAAAUUAGCAGCACUCUUUUUAGGUUAUAGCGACACUCUUUAACUGUCACUAUAUACCUAGCGACCCCACAUAUAGCAACACUUUUUAAAAGUAUCGGUAAUUUAGCCAGCAACACUUAUUUUGACUUAUACCGAUAUUUAAAAUUAUCGUUAUAGACUAUUUUUGUUGUAGUGAUUUUUAAUGCGUUAGAAAUACUUAUUUGUUUUAAGCCAAUAAUAAAACUCCAAUGAUGAGGCCUCGACAAACUCAGCAUUUCCUCCAUAAAGGGGCCGUUUGGUUGGAUGUAGUUGCAGAAACAGUGUAGUUGGAAAUACAUGCAGUUGUAAAUGCUGCAGUUAUAACUACACCUAGUCUGUUUGGUUUUACGCAGUUGCAACUGCUGCAGUUAUAUUUCUUCUAUUUGGUAAUAUGAAGCUGAUAGUUGUAUUUAUGAAUUUUGUCACCUCUUCAGAUAAAGUGGUAAGGUUACCUUCACUAAACAUAAAAUAAUUGUAUAAAUUUAUUAAUUAUUUAAAUUUACUAUUUAUAAAUAAAUAAGUAGAUAUAUAUAAUAUUUUUAUAUUUUUCAAUAAUUCUUCAACUUAUUAAUCGACACAUUUAAAAUUUUUAAUUUAUUUAAUUUUAAUAUGUAAAUCAAACUUUAAAAAUUUAAACGAUUCUCUCAUUUUUUUUUAUCAAAUUUAAUAAUUAUAAUUAAUUAAAACUUAUUAAAUUAACAUAGACGAUCACAUUCUAUAAAAAUUUAAAAAAAAAAACUAUAUUUAUAUUUUAAAUAAAAUAAAUUUAAAAAAAUUAAUUUUUUGCACAAAGCUUGUAUUGUCUAAAAAAUUUUAUUAGUAUGAGUUUAUUUAUAAGUAUUUUUAUUUACCUAUAUACAUAUAUUAUUUAUUUAUUUAGCUAUUUAUUUAUUUAUUUAUUAUUAUUAAUUUGCGGGUAAUCCUAUCCCUCACCAACUGCUGCAGUUGGAACUACGACCAAUUUGGAUGUAGUUCCAACUGCAGCAUUUGGGCCUUCUUGUGCAGUUGGAACUGCAGCAGUUGAACUCAACUACACUAAACCAAACAAAGGAAUUGUGGCUGCACGCAUUUGCAACUGCACUGCAGUUGCAAAUGCGUACAACCAAACAGCCCCAAAAAGUAGAGCUACAAUUAAUAUCCCGUGGUGAUGAAGAAUAUGCCAUAUGUAUGUUCCACAAAAGGUAGAUCGACAAUUAAGCUUUUCUUUUAUUAUUAUGUCCUUAUGAAGUUGAUUGAUCAUCAAUCAUUGUGGGCUUAUCUUAUGAAAAUCUAGAAUAAGCUUAGUUUCUCUUCAAGCUCAGUGAGACACUUGAAAAUAUAAUAUUCCGUCCGCUAGCAAUAAUAAUUUGUUACGUCCAAAUCGCUGACCUAAAAUAUUUAAGUCAAUUAUUAUUACUAGAGUGUUUUUCACUUAUAAACCCAUCACACUCUCCCACAUUAUCCAAUGUGGGACUAUUGAGACCCUAACGUCCUCGUUAGUUCGACCCGAUCACACUCAUGAUCUCAAAUUCACCAGGCGAUGUGAGAUCCAUCUCACAUUUUCGGCAGGUUAUUGUCUCUGAUAACAAAUAUAACGACCCGACCUGCUAGUAAAAAUAACUCAUUUGGUCCAAACUACUGGCCCAAAAUAUUUAAUCCCAAUUAUUUUAUAGUGUGUCUGUUAUUUAUAAACCUUUCACACUCUUCCAUAUUAUCCGGUAUGAAACUAUUGGAAAGUCACAAAAACUAUUGAACUAGACUAGAAGACUAUUAAUAGCACUAAGUCAUCGGUGCUAUUAGAUUUUCGGCCUUUGGAUAAAGAGAUGUGUUGUUAGAAUAAUAGUGCACAUCUAGGGUUAAGUGGGGGUUUGUGGAAUAACAUAAUCUAAGUGAAAAUGGUUAAAGGAAUAGAUUUAAUGGCAGAAAAUUUAGUGGUACCAAGUAUUUGUUACUAUUAAUGGCAUACUAUAUAUAUAUAUAUAUAUAUAUAUAUAUAUAUAGAGAGAGAGAGAGAGAGAGAGAGAGAGAGAGAGAGAGAGAGAGAGAGUAAGGCUACUAUGCUAUCGGAAGUAUGGAGCUUUCCGUACUUCCAGCUCGUUUUCGAUGUUACGACCUUCGAAUCAUCGAUCGGCUGCGUUAAACUUGAUCUAGAGUAUAUAUAUAUAUGUGUGUGUGUGUGUGUGUGUGUGUGUGUGUUUGUACCUUAGGUAAAUUAGGAGAGUUGACCAUUCUCUUCUUUUCUCUCUUUACAUGCAUCUUCCUAACAAAAAUAAUUUAGAUAUAUAUUUCCAUGCAUUUUUUUAAAUUUAAAUAUUAAUUCAUUUGAGGUGUAGGUGAGGCUUUAAAAGAAAAUGACUGGACCACAAUUGGACAAGGGACAUGGAUUUUUGGGAUUGUGUGGUUGUGACAAAGAGUUGCUCAAAAUAUAAUUAAGGUAAAAAUGUAUAAAAUUGAUCUUAACUAUUAGUGAUCAUUUGGACCUUACUAUUUAACCUAAAAGAGUCUAAUUUUACCAUCUAAGUUUUUGAUUAUUUAUUUGAGCCAACUAGUGAUUUUUUAACUUCAAAUUUUGAGUACAUAUUUUAUCUUUAAUGAUUUAAUUACUAUAUUUUAUAAAAUUUACGUAGCUAUAAUUUUUUUCAAAUAAACAAUUAGCUUAAAUUAUAUGUUUGAAAAGUCAUCAAAUUAUUUAAAUAAAAUAAAUUUAAAGGUGGCAUAGUAAAAUGAAAAUUUUAAAAGAUUACAUAGUCGAAACAAAUGGUCUAUAAUUCCGGUAAUUUAUACAUUUUUACCUAUAAUUACAAUAGAGACAAAAUUAAUUAAAUGUUUUUUUUUUAAUGAUACACUUUAACUUAUGGAUACAAAUAGAUGCAUGUGGAUUGUGAAAGGGAAAUGGGAACAACUCUAUGUACAACAGAUCCAAAAUAAUGCAGUGGGUGAUUUAUGAGAGGCCACACACUGAGUAAUUGCUUGAUGCAGUAAUUGGUACACCUCAAAAUAAAAAUAUAUAAAACUUAUCUGAAUUGUAGAGCCUUUUUAUUCAAGUAUAUGCUCUUUUAAAAUUUUCAUUUGAAUGCAUAAUUUUUAAUUUAUUUAAUUUACAUUAGUAUAUGGUUCUUCUGAUAUACAAUUUAGCCUACUAUUUAUUCUACUAAAAUUUAUAAUUACAUAAAUUGUAUAAAAUAUACUAAUUAAACUUAUAAAGAUAAAUGAUUCAUUCAAAUUUUAAAGUUAAAAAGUCAGGGACUCACUUGAAUCAGAAAACUUAAAAUGUUAGAUAGUAAAAUCAAAAUUUUUUUAAAUAUUAGAGAGUCAAAUUAAACUGUGUUAUAGUUGAUGUAAGUUCUACACUUUUUUAUCUAGGCUAAAAUUUUAGAGGUAUAAUGUAAAUUAAGAGUAACCUAUAAAGAGUUCGCUUGAUAUUAAGAACCGAUUAAUAUUAUUGGACGAAAAAGAGUUAGGAUAACAGCAUAUAUGUUAAGACAAGUUUUUCCAUAUUAUGUGGAAUCAUAAAAUUUAUAUUUUAAAUAAAUCAUUGUGAUCUAUGUAAUAUAUUAUCAACUUAUAAAAAUAAAUAAAUAUAUUUUUAUCGCACUUUCUGGCGGCAUGUAAUGCACUCUUUCCCCCACAAUUUCAAACAAAGACUUGGCCUUUAAUUUGCUAACUAAAAUUAUUGCUCCUAAAAUUAGACGUAAAAAUGUAGAGGGAACCCCUCAACUAGAGCUGAAUUUUGAAAUAUGCCCAUCAAAUUUUUCUUGGUUGGAGUGACAGUUCCUAGCACCAGCGGUGAAGAGCUUAAUUAAUUGUUGGUACCCGAGAUGAUAAAUUCGAAGUCUAAUUGCAUCACAGUUUCAGCUAAAUUCAAUAAAAUAGAUAGCAUGUUAUCUUUCUUUAAAAGAAAGAAGAACCCUUUUCUUGGUUGGAUCCACACUUUUUUCUUUUUUUCGAGGAUAAGUAAUUUGUACUAGUUAAACAAGAAACUUUGUUAAAUUUAUCACUAUUUCUAAUAAAUUUAACUAUUCAGAACAACUUUUUAGCUGAUAUAAUCGUAGAAUUGAGGAUUUCACUGAUUAUGAGCAGCUCCCAAAGCCAUUAAUUUGAACGAAUCUCUAACUCAUUUUUUUUUUUUUUUUUAUUGAGAGAAAAAUCUCUAACUCAAAUUGGAAUAAUGAAAAGUUAAGAAACUAUAUAUUGUAACGAGGGAAAGUAAAGGAUCAGGAGAAAUUAUUUAUAGUUUGAGGGGAAAUUAACUCCACACAUUUUCACCAUAAAUUCGAAUGCGAACACUUGUGGGCUACACUUGGGACUACACUUAGCAAUGGGGGAUCGAGUCCACGUACGUGACAUGAUCUCUAACCACUCCCUUUCUUUGGAAUGGAGUUCUAACAAACGAGCUACAUAUAUAUAUUAUAUGAUAGUGAAACAACAUGAAAGAAAUUGUAUAUAAAAAUGAUGAAUAAUAGUAAUAAUAAUGGGGAAAUAAAACCAACUCGCCAAAUCACUAAUCAAGGGGGCCAUCUACCGUGUGGAAGUGAACUUGAGAAAUGUGACCAUCUUUUCUGCACGUGUUCAGGCCGCAACUCAUCCACAGGACGCAGACCACUGACGGUGUAAAAGAGUUAUCGAAUGAACAUUCUCAGAAGACUUUAGGCCACUUAGUGGGUCACCUAGAUUAAUUGAGAGAAAUAACACAAUUUUUAAAAUUUUAAUUUUACUAUCUAUUUUUUAAUUUGUUUUAGUUGAGUCAGUUAACGGCAUUUUGAUUCUAAAAUUUAAGCUAAUUGACUGGCUUAAAUCAAAUAAAUUGAAAGAUUAGAUAGCCAAAUCCAAAUUAUCUAUAUACAGUUCAUAUAAAUUUUAUAUGCUUUAUACCUUUUCAUUUUGGUCCUCAAAUAUUCAUACUAGUGGUGCUAUUUGUAUUUUAUAUAUAUAUAUAUAUAUAUAUAUAUAUAUAUAUAUAUAUAUAUAUAUAUAUAUAUAUAUAUAGAGUGAGGCUACUAUGCUAUCGGAAGCACGGAGCCUUCCGUGCUUCAGCUCGUUUUCGAUGUUGCGACUUUCGAAUUGUCGAUCGGCUCCGUAACUUGAUCUAGAGUAUUUGAAGUACCUCAAAAAUAAAUUUUAUGAUUUUACGAUAUCAUUUGCCUAGUGAACGAAGGGCUCAAAACAACGGCUGAAAUAAAAAUCUUACAAAAUGUAAUAAUAUGACAUUAAAAUUUUAAAUCAAAUAUAUUGAUCUUGUUUUAUAUAGUAUAAAAAAUUUUCUAUCAAAACUUCACGUGAUUUGGAUAUUUCUAUACCGUUAAACUUGCAAACGGCUCACUACGGCCAUUGAAAUUUGUUGAUUUUGAGCCCAUUUGAUCACUAGGCAAAUGAUAUCGAAAAAUAAUAAAAUUUAUUUUCUAGAUACUCCAAAUACUCUAGAUCAAGUUUAACGGAGCCGAUCGACGAUUCGAAAGUCGCAACAACGAAAACGAGCUGGAAGCACGGAAGGCUCCGUGCUUCCAAUAGCAUAGUAGCCUCACUCUCUCUCUCUCUCUCUCUCUAUAUAUAUAUAUAGAGCUAGGCUGGUAUACUAUCGGCUACCAAGUUGUUUUCAAUGAUGCGGCUUCCAAAUCGACGAUCGGCUCUGUUAGACUUAAUCUACACUAUUAAAAGUAUUUGGAAACUAAAUUUCAUAAUUUUUCGACAUUAUUUGGCUAGUGAUCAAAAGGUCUCAAAAUUGACAAUUUUAAUGAUUGAUGUGAUGCGUUUGUGAAUUUAAUGGCGUAAAACAAUCCAAAUUUGAUGAAAUUUUUAUAGAAAAUUCUUUUCACUAUUUAGAGUGAGAUCAGUACCUCUGAUCUUAAUGAAAUUUUUAUUUUCGGCCGUUUAUUUUUAGACUACUCGUUUCAUAGGUAAAUGAUGUCAAAAAAUUAUGAAAUUUAGUUUCCAAAUAUUUUUAAUAGUACUAUAGAUCAAGUCUAACGGAGCCGAUCGUCGAUUUGAAAGCCGAAUCAUUGAAAACAACUUGGUAGCACGGAGGCCUCCGUGCUACCGAUAGUAUACCAGCCUAGCUAUAUAUAUAUAUAUAUAUAGAGGUGCAUCACUCUUUUCCUCACAAUAAAUCCAAUAAUAACACGGUUUCCACUGUGAACUAAGCUAAGCCCCUCUCCUCUUCUUCUUCUUCGUUUUCUUCUUCUUCUUCUUCUUCUUGUUGCUUUGGGAGGUGUAGCCAUGGGUGGCCACUCAUGCUUUGAGGAGUACAAACCUGGAGUGGCAAUGGUGGCCGUGCAGUGCAUCUACGCGGCCAUGUCGCUCUCGGCAAAGGCCGCGUUUACGGAGGGGAUGACCCCCAUGGUGUUUGUGGUCUAUAGGCAAGCCAUUGCCACCCUAGUAUUGCUUCCUGCAACCAUCCUCACAAAAGGGUUCUCUCUCUCUCUCUCUCUCUCUCUCUCUCUCUCUCUCUCUCUCAUGUUGUUUAUAUUCAGCUUGUAUGUUCAUACACUCAAUCUUUUAUCACAUCUCCUACUUUAUUCUCACAAAAGAUUUUCUCUCUCUCUCUCUCUCUCUCUCUCUCUCUUGUUAAUUGUAUCUAGUAUAUCUACUUGUAUGUUCAUACACGAUACUUGUCGGUCCUUUAUUACAUCUCAUACUGAAUUGAACCAUAUUCCUUUAAGCCUACGUGAAAUAACUGUAAUUUACUAAACGAUCGAUAGAAAUUAAAGUAUGAAAUCAGAUGGAAAAAAUUAUAUAGGUGAAACACACACAAAUGAACAAUAAUACUCUCUAGAUCUCUCUCUCUCUCUCUCUCUCAUAUUUCCUUUUGGUCUGUACCUGAUGCAUCUUUCAGUGUAUUCCGCAUUCAUCAUUUCUAUUCUAUCUAAUUCAAUCAAUUAUUCGACAAUACGUAACCUCGUUGGAUAGUAGAGAUUGAAUUAUAAGAUAAGAUGCAUAACUGAUAAAAGUAUGCAUGUGAUACAUAUGUACAAAUUAGGUACAAACACAAAAAAGUAUUUAUCUUUCUCUCUCUUAAUUAGCUAGUUGUUGAUGUUUGUGUAGGGGAAGGCUAAGUGACAUGGCAGUAGGAACGAGGGGAUUUGCUUUGGUGUUUGUGACCUCCCUUAUUGGGUAAGUAAUUAAUUAAAAGAAAAAAGAUCUCCAUAUAUAGCUAUAGACCUUUUUGUAUGGAUUCUUUUUUUCCAAAAAAAAAUAAUUAAUUUUUUUUAUUUGUUUAAAAUUAACAGUGGCACACUCAAUCAAUUCUUAUACUAUCAAGGAUUACAUUUGGCCUCUUCAUCAGUAGCAACUGCUAUGGUCAAUCUCACACCAGCUGUCACUUUUGUUAUGGCUGCUUCUGUUGGGUAAUUAAGUUCCUCACAUUAUUUAUUUUUUAUUCAAAAUUUAAUUUAAUUAUUUCUCUUUUUUUUAGAAAAUUUGUCUUUUGUUUUAUGUUUCUUGUUUGUUUUUUUUAUCAAGAAGUGUUCUAGAAGAUUCUAAGCUUUGCUAUGGCCCUUUUGUCUUUUAAUUAACUUGCACUCUGGGCUAAUUAGCUAGAAGAUCUACCAUCACUGUAAAUAUAGAGAAGUGUGUGUAAAAAUAGCAUUACUCUUAAUAAAAUGUGAUUAGAGAUAUUAUUUCAAAUCUUGUUAUUUCAAAACUCAAACAUUCUUUUUAUAAAAAAAGUAUAUAUAUUUGACACAUCUACACAAAGUGAUGCCUUAUAAAUCCUACUUUUGAUAUAUCUACACAUGAGUCCGACUACUAUACUCUUGUGAUCAGUAUAGUCUCCUUUAUACUCAUAAGUUUUCGACCGUUAGAUCUAACUUUUUGACCAUUUUCAUUUAUUAGAUUACACAAUUCAAUUAACCACCAAUUCAACCCUAAGAGACCACUAUUAUCCUAAUCGGUGAUCAUUAUCAUCCUAACCGCACAUCCCUUCAUCCAACAGUUGAAAACUCAUGAGUACAAAAGGCUCUAUACUUAUAAGAGUAUAGUAGCUCUAGCCAUCUACACAUGUCAUACAUACAUUUAAAGUUUAUCUUAAUAUUUUGAAUAGUGUUAACAUAAAUCCCUGGCUCCAUUUUCUACAAGUUCGGUUUUUUUGGGUUUUCCUUUGUGUUUGUGAGGUUGUUAAUUUGUCUCCACCUUCAAUUCUUUCAUUAUAUGUAAUAGUUUUUUAAUUUACAUAUGUUAUGCAUGUGAGUAGUGCGGAUGUUAAUAUAUAUUUCUGGACCAGUUUUUUUUAAAAAUCGAUCUUUUGGGUAAAUGGAAUGCCCCCACUUGAAUUUUGAAUCAUGCAAAUGUAGUGUAACAUGGGCAUGUGUUUAGUACCUGUACCUACGAGCAUGUGCUAUUGUAGAAUCAUCUCAUUUUGGGUCCGUAAGCUUUCUAAUGUAUUAGAAAUUACAAAUUCAAAUAUUAACAUAUUAGAGUAUGAACAAAUCCCUAAUGCAUUAUUUUAUUUUUUUUUUUUUUUUUUUGGAGAAUAGGUAGCAGGCUACCUGCUUCAUUCAUUGAAGAUAUAAAUUAGGCUACAGGGGUGAGGCAACCAGGGCCUCGAAAGAAGAAAAACCACGAAAAAAAAAAAAAAUCAAGAGAGGCCUUUCCAAAAAACAAUCGGCUGCUUGAGCCUUCCCACCAUUAAUUACCUAACUUAUUAUUGGCAUAAUAAGUUAGGUAAUUAUUCUAUAUGAUUAAAAUUGGAUUAAUUAUUCUCUAGUUUAUAGAGAAUAAAGUUGGAUUAAUUUCUAAUAGCUAACUUAACCAUAAAAUUCAACAAAAUAUUUAAUUUCAACUAACAAUAAAAACUCAAUUAAAAAAAAAAAUAGAAGUUAAAGCUAAUUCGAGGUCUCCGUAAAUUUUUCCCAAUUAUUUAUGAAUGUUAGGAUAAUUUUGAUGUUAUUGUAGAAUUAUUUCAAUUAUUUAAAGAAUUAAUGACAUAAAAAAUCUGUGUCCCAUGAUGCUGAAAAGUUUUCUUUUUCCCUUUAUUUCUCAACAUAAUCCAGUGUACAUACAAAAAACAUUUUAGGUUUAGAGCUUAUUCUAUAAAUUAAGCUGUAAUUUGGACUACUUUCAUAUCAUAUAUUUACUCUCCUAUUGUUACAAAUUUCUUGUACUUUUACAUAAAACUUUUCUCUUUUUUUUUUUAUUUAAAAAAACUAAAUCCUAACUAAAAAUGUUAUACCAGAUUAGAGAAAGUGAAUCUGAGAAGCUUGAGAAGCAUGGCUAAGGUGAUUGGGACUAUUAUUUGUGUCGGUGGAGCUAUUUCGAUGGCGUUUUUUAAAGGUCCAAAGCUUCUAAAUGCGGAUUAUCACAAGCUAAUCACACUUCUACACUCGGUGACCGACAAAUGGAUCGCAGGCGCGCUAUUUCUCAUUGGCAGCAGUUUUUGCUGGUCACUUUGGCUCAUCUUGCAGGUACUAGAUUUGCUUUGCGCUUCGAAAACUAAAGAGAACUAAAAACUUCAAACAUUUGUAUUUUUAUUCUACCAGGUGCCACUUUGCAAAUCGUAUCUCGACCCGUUAUCGCUGUCGGCGUGGAUGUGCCUCUUAUCAACUUUUCAGUCAGGUAUACUCACAUUCUUCCUGUUACCGGAUUUGAGUGCUUGGAGAAUUACUUCUCUUAUCGAACUCUUCGCUUGCAUAUUCGCGGUAAGUUUUUGUUAGCGAAAAGUUUCUUCUUUUUGAAAAAGAACAGUUUUAUCAUCUGUAAACUAUAUGUGUAGGGUAUAUUUGGAUCAUGUGUUACCUACUGUCUCCAAACUUGGUGUGUAUCAAAAAGGGGGCCUUUGUAUUCUGCAAUGUUUAAUCCCCUUUGCACUGUAAUUACUACGGUUUCGGCUUUCUUUGUGCUUCAUGAAGAACUUCACAUUGGAAGGUACACGACGUUACCAGUUUACUUCUCUUGUUUCAGAAUAUGAUAAAACAUAUCAUCAGAGAAAUAUGAAAUUCGAUAUCUUGAAACAAAAUUAAGUAGUUUUUUUUUCAUUUUUCUGUACUGUCGCAGCUUGAUCGGAGCUAUUGCGGUUGUCGGAGGGUUGUAUGUAGUGUUAUGGGGCAAAGCUGAGGAUCUGAACAAGAUUAAGCCAAUUCCUAGCGACGGUCGGACGAAGAUCGCAAUCAUUGUAGAUGCGCGACAUGUCAGUGGCGAGAGUGCUGUCAGAGAACCCCUCAUUGCAGAAAAAGCGCAGGUUGAAAGUUAGAUGAAAAAUGUGUAUGCAUGAGUUCAAUUUCUGUUCUUUAUUUAUUUUGGGCUGUAAUAACAUGAAAGGUCUCUCAUACUAUUCGCGAAUUUCAAUCUCUUCUUUGCCUUUAAAUUAAAAAAUAACAUUUGAGUUGAGUACGGAGUUGCGGGAAUUUACUACAUGGCCCAAGUGACUACACAUACUCGGAGCAAAGGCGCAAGAACAUUCACUUUCUACACCACAUUUUGAAGAUCCACUAUAAAACAAACUUACCAUCGAAAAAGAUAAGCAGCAGCAGUUUACGAACUCGAUCUUUAAAGGUCACAAAAAUACAAAAAUAAAAACUCUUAACUUGAAUCUUCUGCUUCUGCACUUAAAUCUUCUGCUUCUGCUGUAUCAACUUCUAAAUCAUCGGACUACAAGGAACAGAAACACAAUGUUUUGCACGACAUCAAUAGCCUAGAUCGUACGAGUUGUUUCUUAAAACAGAGAUUUCACGUAUCAUAUAUAGUGGAAAAUGAAUACAACAAAGCCACAAGAAUAAGGAAAGAAAAGAACAGAACAGAAGCCCGCCGACAACUUUAUACAAUACCAAGUCCUACAUUAGCUCUAAUGAAUACAGUGAAAGCAACUAAUACAACAAAUGAGCCACGGAAAACAACAUGGAUACAACAGCUAGAUAUGUACUAAAGCUAGCACGUAAACGACAAAUCAAUACCAUCUGCGAUGUACAAAAGUUACAGAAGAAACAUAACAGAAAAAGAAAACAAUACUAGUAAAUCCACUGACAUAGGAGGCGAGAAGGAAGUCCUCUAAGGAUAUCUUCCUUUCCAUCCACCGUAGCCGUACGCAUUGUCGCGCCGAAUGUUCCGGAAUGCGCAGCAUCCGACCGAGUAGACCAUGAUGAGGAAGACGAGGACGACAAUAUUUAUGAUGGCGACCUUCUUCCAGUCCUUCUUGAUGUUGGCGAGCACGCCGGCCUUGCAGGACUGGCAGCCAUAGCAGAGGGUCGACGGGUCGUUGUUCCACGCCGAGCAGUCGGUGUUGUUGGUCGAGGUCAAUGUCGUGGAGUUCACGGUCCACACAGUUGGACUCACAUAGGUGAAGUCGCAUUCGGUGGGCGGUUUGCAGCAUCCAGACUACAGAGAGAGAGAGAGAGAGAGAGAGAGAGAGAGAGAGAGAGAGAGGCAAGUUAAAAAAAGUUAUUAGGGCAAGAGUGCUAAAAAUAACAUAUGAGCUAUGGUCUAUGAUUUAGUUUGGAUUGUUAGUUAUACAAAUGGCCUAAAGUGACUCAGAAAAAGUAGUAUCAGAAACUGGAGCAUCCCAGUAAGUAUUAGGAGAUGAUUUAGAUGAUUUGAAAAGAAUGUUACCAAACAUGAUUUAGAUGAUUUGAAAAAAAUGUUACCAAACACUCGAAACUGAAAUUGUUUGAGAUGGCCUCUGAGAUGAGGAAAGAUGCAGUUUACAAAGAAAAUUUGAAACCUAGUUGUCUCAAUUUCGCUUAUCAGAAUUUGAAUUUAUAUCACAGCUAAGAGCGUGAUGCAAAAGCAGAGUUGGAAACCCAAAAAGAAAGGUAAAACCAGGAUCAACCAAAACAGAAAAGAUAAACUCAGAUAACUCAGAAAGGUACUUUUGAUAAAAGAAUCACCUACAAAGUCACCUACAAAGUUGAGAGGACCUGGUGACCGAAUCAAGAACUUUAGCAUAAACGUAAAAUAAAGCUAAUAUUAAACAUUGCUAGAUGAUCAAAGGCAAAAGAUACCGAGAAUCUGAAAAAGAACAGAAGUUCAGUUCAAUUAAAUACACAAUUGAUGUCCAAUUUACCAGAUAAGGAAACUAAGAAAGGUGCCUGUUUAAUUUCUGAGAAGUUCCAACAUUUUCUGAGAAGUAAAAUUCAAGUGAAGUAAAAUUUUCUGAUGUUCACUUGAACUUGUUAUCUGGUAAAAUUCAAGUGAACAUAAGUGGAAACUAAGAAAGGUGCCUGUUUCCGUCUAUACGAAAAGAAGACUAAAUCAGAAAGAAAUUAAAGUACGAAUUUGAUCAGAGGAAGAACAAUCUCAGAACUAGAAGCAUCAGGACUUAAUAAUGAGGCAAUUUAUUUACCAAUGGGACCACACACCUGAACAAAAUGAGAGUACAAUAUAUGGUCCAUAUGAACAAAGAGACAUGUAAUAUUGGAUAAUUAGGGCAAGUUACAAGAGCAAUUUAGAAUGGAUAGUUAGAGAACAUUUUAAGAAACAAAAAGAAUUUAGAACUAAUGCGCGAAAACGUCAGUUUAGAAGUGAAGUACUCAAACAUAGAUAGCAGAUUAAUGAAAAUACUAAACUAGUUGUGCUCAGAAUCAUCAGAAACAAAAACAAAAGAAUGUUUUGAAGAACAUGGCUUCUAAGAUACAUAAAAUUCCUUACAAAGUUCUUUGAUAACAUAUCAAACAAUGUUAAAUUACUAAUCAGAACAGUAAGAGACAGAUUUUAUGAUAUAAUUAACAAAUUGUUAAUAAGAGUUAGCACCUACAAUAUCCCUAGUCUAAUUAAAAAAUCAGGAUCGAGGAAUAUUUUUGUAACCCUUCAAAGAAAAAAAAAUGUACAUAGUAAAACAAAGAUAUCAAAACUGCAAAAAAAAAUAUUUUGCAAUAGCAAAUUGACAAAUUUUGCACGUCUAGAACAGUAAAAGACAAAUUAAAAAUAAAAAAGGUGCCCAAAAAAAAAAAACCUAAAACGGAGCGUAGCCAUUAUGUAGACGGUUAAUCUACAACCAAAACCACCUGGUAAGUUAAAUUCUACUAAAAUUCACCCAAAAAAAAAAGAAGAAUCCCAAAAAUCCCCCCAAAAUCCACACAACAACAACAACAACAACAGCAGCAGCAGCAACGAGAUGAGAAGACAUGAUCUACAAUUAACCGUUUCGAGCCAAUCAUACCUGAAUCGGGGAGAGAUUGUCCCUGAUGAACUGAUCGAAGGUCUCGUUGCCCUGCUGGAGCCGCUCGCAAAUCUUAGAGUCCUGCAAGCAGCUCCGGAUCUUGGCCCAGUUCUUGGAGUUGUCGACGCGCUUCUGGAGCCAGUGGGAGUAGUCGCCGAGGCGGUACUCCUUGAACCCGCGGUUGGAGACGGCCUCGCCGGCGCCCUUGUUGGUGACGAGGAAGGCGAAGAGGGUGAAGGCGAAGAGGAGGAGGAUGAGGAGGAACAUGGCGACAAGGUAGAGCCAGAGGAGGAGGGAGGCCCUGCAGCAGGCGCCGACGAGGCCGGCGAGGGAGACGAGCAUGAGGAAGGCGCCGAGGACGAUGAGCGGCACCGUGAGGAAGCGCUCGCACUCGGUGCCGGACCCGCCGCCGCGGGUGGCGAGCCACACGCCGCCGCCGAGCACGGGCACGGAGAGGAGGAAGGUGAGGAGGUUGAGCACCCCGAUGAGGUUGUUGCUGAGCCUAAACAUCGCGAUCCACCCCAACCAAUGCCCACGCGUAGCACUCCGAGGAUGAUGAGGUCGUGGUAAUGGAGAUAGAUAGAGAGAGAGAGAGAGAGAGAGAGAGAGAGGAGUGGGGACGAAGACGAAGAGGGAGAGGGAGAGGGAGAGGGGGUUUAUAAGGAUUGUGAAGCCGUGUGAUGAUGAGUGGUUGGUGGAGGAGAAGGAGAGGGGAAAAUGUUCGCGUACGGUUUCUGGGGGGGACCCGCUGCUUUGAGAUUCGCGCAGGUCUGCGAGAUGAACGAUGCAUGUGAUCGUCUCACGUGGGGAUCGUGAUUUUUAUUCUGAGGUGAAGGGGAAGGGGUAGAACCGUAAAAAGGUGGCGAGCGUUAUAUAACGCGGAAGUGGUUUCCCCCCGUAACAGUUAAUUUCGUAUAAUAAUAUAUACAUUCUAAAGUAAAUAUUUUUAUAUUUUUAUCAUAAAACUAUGCUGCAACCUUAUUAAUAGCACCAAGUUAUUAGUAUUAUUAAAUUUUCGAUUCUUAGAUGAUGCGAUAUAAGAUUAGGAUGAUAAUAGCACCCUUAAAUUUGAAUGAGUGGUUGUUUGAAUAGUAUAAUCUAACGUAUUGAAAUUAUGGUAAAAGAAAUUCAUCUAUCAACAGAAAAUUUAAUAGCACAAGUGCUUAGGGCCUGUUUGUUUCGAGAAAAGUGGGGUGGAAGUGGGACGGGGAAAGUGACUUUCGGUGAAAAACUGACCACUUUCGUUGUUUGGUUCACCGUAAUUUUAUUACGCCCGAAAGUCCAGUUCACCUAAAAUAAUGAACUUGACUUCGCCCUCCCAUUGGGCGAAAUCAAUUCCGGUGAAGUGAAAAAAAAGCAAGAAUGGAUUAAUGUGUUAAGGUUACCUCUUCUAAAAUAUGAUCAAAUUUGAUUAGGUAAGCUUUAAUAUAUUUUUUGUUUAAUUUGUACAUUUAGAAAAUGAUGAAAAAUGAAUUUGUUAAAUGUUAAUAAUUUUUUAACUUUUAGAAUUUUAUUUGUUGCAUUAUUAUAAUUUAUAUGCAAACAAAUAAUAUAAUUUUUUUUAAAUUUUAUUUUAUAAUUAUACAUAUAUAAAAUUAUAUACAUAUAUAAUUAUAUUAAUUUUAUUUAUUAUAAUUUAUUAUUCACUAUAAGUUACAAAAUAGACAAUGAUAUCACUUUGGAGGUAAGUAUACCGGGGGUGGAGAGCUACACUUUUUACGUCAUCUACUUCCUACCAUACAAACAAUAGAACUCGCAGAACUGCACUUCCACAGUUAGAAACAAACAGCAGAAGUGAUCUAAUUUUCACCCCAACUCCACUUCAACUCAAAGUCCACUUCCACCCCAAGUCUACUUACAUUGAAACAAACAUGCCCUUAGGGCAUGUUUGUUUGGAUGGAAGUAGGGUGGAAGUGGAGAAGAGGAAGGUCGUUUUCACCCUAAACGACCACUUCCGUUGUUUGGUUCGUCAUAAAAAGUUACGGUCGAAACUCGAGUUAAUCUCAAACGGCGUAAUUAACUCCGCCCUAUCGUAGGCCGAAAUCAAUUACGGUGAAGAAAGGUGAAAAAAAAUAAUAAAAUAAUAUAAUAGAUAAAGCUAGUUAUAUUUAAAUAUAUUUAAUUAUGAUACUAAUUAUUUUUUUAUUCAGUUAAUAUAUCUAAAAUAUGAUAAAAAUUGAUUAAUUAAGUAUUAAUAUUUUUUUAUUUUAUAAUUUUAUUAUUGUAUUACUAUAAUUUAUGUAUAAAAAAAUAAUUUAGUUAUUUUAAAUUAAAUUUUAAUUAUAUAAAAAUAUAAUUAUAUUAUUUUUAUUUAUUAAAAUAUUUAUUAUUUAUAUAUAAAUUAAAAUUUUAUACUAUACACUUUCUAUCAAACAAACAGCAGAACUGAUGAAACUUCACUUUUAUAACUACAAAACAAACAGCGGAGAAGAAGUAGUUUUCACCGAACUCGAAACAAACAGCGGGAAAGAAGUCGUUUUCACCGAACUCGAAACAAACAGUGGGGAAGAAGUCGUUUUCACUGAACUCCAGUUCAACCCAAAGUCCAGUUUCGGUGAAUAUUGUGUAUUAAUAUUAAGGGUCAAAUGCAUACAGCUCCCUGCAAACAUAGCCAAUUGCGGAUAUAUCCCUGCAAAAUCGAAACUCCAUAAGUUGUCCCUGCAAAAGUCCCAAGUUAUGCAGAUAUGUCCCUGCAGUUAACAUCCGUUAGUGAGCUGUUUGUUUUUUAAUAGCGAAGUCGUGAAAUGACCAUUUUACCCUCACAAAUAUAUCCCUCCAAAAGUUUUCCUCUUCCCCUUUUCUUUCUUUUCCUCUUCCGGCCGCCGGAGCGGAUGGCGGCGACGGCGCGGGUCGACCUCGCCGGCGACGAAGAAGAAGGAAGAGAAAGAAUGAGAGGAAGAAAAAAAGGGAAGAGGAAGAAGGAGAGAAAGAGGGAGAAGAAGAGAGAAGAGAAAGAUAAAGAGGGAAAGGGUUCGUCGCCGCGCGCCGCCGCCGGAUCUUCUCCCUCGCCGGCGACGAAGAAGAGGGAAGAAGAAGAGGAAGAGGGAAAGAAAGAGGGAGAGGAAGAAGAAGAGGGAGAGGAAGAGGGUUCGCCGCCGCCGUCGCAUUUUCUCCCUCGCCGGUGAUGAAGAAGAGGGAAGAGGAAGAGGGAGAGGAAGAAGAAGGGAGAAAAGGGAAGAGGGAGAGGAAGAAGGAGGAAAAGAAAGAGAGAGGGUUCGCCGUCGCCGCCGUCGUCGCUGCCGUCGCUGCCGCUGUCGCCCUCGCCGGCGACGAAGAAGAGGGAAGAAGAAGAGGAGGAAGAAGAAGGGUAGAACCGUAAAUUCACGUUAUAAUUAACCAUGGUUAAGUAUUUUAACCGUGGUUAAUAAAAAUUUUCUAACAGAUCUGGACGGCAGGGACAUAUCUGCAUAACUUUAGACUUUUGCGGGGAUAACUUAUGGAGUUUUCGUUUUGCAGGGAUAUUUCUGCAAUUCACUAUGUUUGCAGGGACGUGUAUGCAAAUAACCCUAAUAUUAAUAUCUAAGUAUUAUUACAAAGAUAUAAUACUUAUAUUUGUAUAAGUAUUAUUUAAAUGAGAGAAAUGUUAUUCAUAUCACUGAAAUUUAAUCGUAAAUAUUACACGCACUACAGGAAGCUUUAUAUGACAUUUAUAGAUUUUUAUUUUUAAAUUGUUAAUAUUAAAAAGAAUAUAAAAGUAGGAUAAAAUUAGUAUAAAAAAUAGAUCUUUAGAUAAAAAGAACAUCAAAUUUAAGAAACGUUUGGUUGGGCUUAAAUGUUAAAUGCAAGCAAUUAGUGCAUAUAUAUUUCUUUUUUUAUUAGAUGUUAUAAAUAAUAUUGUAACUAUAAAUUAUUUGCUUAGUUACAUACGGUUGAAAAAUAUAUUAAUAAUAUUUUAUUAUUAUUAUUAUUUUGUCUCACAAGUGGAUGGUUGCAUUAUAAAAAUAAAUAAAAAGUAGGCAAAUGGAUAAAAGGCCAAAAAAGAGAGGAAAAAAAAAAAAAAGAAAAAGGAAAACAGUGCGCAGUUUGUACCGACUCACCUGGUUGCGCAGUUCAAAUGCGAGGCUUGUCUUAAAACAAUGGAAAAAUUGGGGGACAUUGGGACGUGCUUAUUAGUUUCAGGAGCACAUUUUUGCAGGUAGUGUCCCAAACCUCUUACUUAUUCAAAUUUNUUUGUAUAAAAAAUUCAAGUUUUGAAUUUUUGUAAACUGAAUUGUCUUUUUCAAUUUUACAGAUUUAGACCGAUUUUUUAGAAAAUUGUUCAAAAUACUUUUAUUUCUUUCUCUCUCUCCUUUUUUUUCUCUCGUAAUUUUUUUUCCUCUCCGAAAAGAGAGACAGAGGCGGCCCGCCUCACCUUUAUCCCGGCGCUCUCGCUCGCAUCUGGGCACCAUCCGCCCUCCUCGCCUCCAACCCCACAAAAGCGCUGCCCUUUAAGAUGUCCCUCCGCGCCUCCGCCUUAUGCACCCUCACCUGCGCGCUCACCCCCCACCCUCCUCGCCUCCGGUUUCGUUGAGGCUACGCGGCGAUUCUCAAUUUUUUUAUCAAUUUUUUAAAAUUUCGGUCUGAAUCUAUAACAUCAAAAAACGAUAAUGUAAUUUUGUAAAAUUUCAAAACUGGUGGAUUUUUUAUGCAAAUUGGCCUACUUGUUAAAGUAGAACGAAAACUAGUGCUGCUAUAAAUAUCUCACAUAAUAAUAUCUAAUAAUAUCUUAUCUAUACAACUAAUAAAAGGCGAACCCUCAACCCGCCACGCGUCGCCUCCGCAGCGAACCCCGCCCUGCAGUGGGCUCCCCGCGUUUUGCGGGUGCCUCGGGCGCGAGAGAGAGAGGGAGAGAGAGAACAGAGGGAGGAGAGAGAGAGAGAGCGCACAGAGAGAGGGGGAGAGAGAGAACAGAGGGAGAGAGAGAGAGCAGAGUAGAAGGAGAGAGAGAGAGAGAGCUCAGUCUCUCUCUCCCUCUCUCUGCUCGCGUGCGCCCGCGAGAGGGGACCCGCGCACAUGGUAGGCCCCCCCCGGCUCUCUCUCUCUCUUUCUCUUUCUCUCUCUCUCCCUCUCUCCACCCCCAUCCCCCGGUGCCCUCCCCCUCUCUCUCUCUCCGCGCGAGAGGGCCCACGUGCGCGUGACCCGCGCCCGACGGGUGCGGGUCGCCCGGAGGGGUUCCCGGCCCGCGCCCCCCGCGCGCGUGCUUCCCCCUCCUCCUCCUCUUUACCUCCCCUCCCCCUCCACGGUUCUCUCCCACUCUCCCCCCCCCCCCUUUCUCUCUCUCUCUUCCUCUCCCAGCGGGCCUGCAGUAGGAGUCGUGGGUCGACGGUAGCGGGCGGCUGAGCCCGGGCGGGCGGCAGUGGGGCGGCGCGCGCGGGGCGCGGCGAGCCGGCGCGAGCGGCGGGCGAGCGGGGCGCGGAGCGAGCCGGCGCAGGCGUGGCGGGCGAGCGGCAGGGCGCGCGGGCGAGCGGGCGGGGGCGCGAGCGGGCGCGCGGCGCGGGCGAUGCUGCGGGGGGCGAGCGGGCGCGCGGGGCGCGGCGAGCUGGCGGCGAGCCGCGCGGGCGAGCGGGCGAGCUGGCGCGGGCGCGAGGCGGGGUUUUUUUUUUUUUUUUUUUUGCUUUUUCCAUGUGGAUCCACUCUCCCCCCUCUCUCUCCUCUCUCUCUCUCCUUCUCCUUUUUUUCCUUUCUAACGUCCACUUCUCUCUUUCGUCUCUCUCUCUCUCUCUCCCUUUCUUUUUUUUUCCCUUUCUACAUAUUGCCACUCCUCUCUCUCUCUCUCUUCUCUCUCUCUCUUUUUCCCUUUUCUACUAACUUUUUUUUUCCGUUAUUUUGCAGUAUUGUGACUCACAUCCAAAAAAUAAAAAUUUACACUUAAAUUUUAAAUUAAAAUUAAAAUUAAAAUAAAAAUUUUAAAUCGAAUCUCUUAUUUUGAUGGAUUGCGGGCGAGCGGGAGCGGGCGCGAACCAGCGUGGAGCGGGCUUUUUUUUAUACUUUUUCCUGUGGGACCCACAAAAUUUAAAAAAAUAAAUAUAAAUUUAAGUUACAUAAAAAAAAUAAAAAUAAAAAUUUUAAUUUUAAAUAUAAAUUAAAAUUUAAAUUUAAAUUUUAAAUCGAAUCUCUUAUUUUGAUGGAUCGCGAGCGGGAACUAGCGCGAGCCGACGCGGAGCGGGCUUUUUUUUUUGCUUUUUCCCUGUGGAACCCACAAAAUUUUAAAAAAAUUAAAUAUAAAUUUAAAUUUUAAACUGAAUCUCUUCUUAACAGAAAUUAAAAUUUUGUACUUUAAUUUAACAUUUUAAAUUUAAAAUAUAAAUCUAUAUCUAUAUAUCCUUUUAAUCGGGAAUCCUACGCCGGUACGGCCGGACUCUCUGCGUUUCGAAUUUUAAACAACUCAGGUAAAGAAGACAACUCAAAAGAAUUAUCAUUUGAUUCUAUUAAUGUGUUAUGUUUACAAUUUUAAUUUAGAUCUUAAAAUAAAAAAAUUAAACAAGUUUGUUCAAAAUAUUUGGUAAAUUACGUAAAUUUUCCGCCGCGAAGCGCGGGUCUUCACUAGUAUUAUUAAUAUAUGAACAAAUCCAUAUGUGCAUAGUCCAAUCAAUGACACUGUUGGUGACCAAAGCAUAUCUCAAUGAGGAAAAGUGUUAGCUUCACACGGAAUUUGAUUCUGGUAUAUUUUUUCUAUCCCAAACACCAAGUAGAAUAUAACGAACACCAAACACCAAACACCAAACACCAACACGUGUAUUAUUAUCAAUUUUAUAUUUCCACGUGUUCUGGGCCAUAUGCGAAGGCUAAAAAUAUCUACUUGGCUCAUGGGUGACACUAGAAAUUAUUGGGUGAAACUGGUCUAUGCUCCUUUUUUCUUUUUUUUUUUAACAUAAAUUCAAAUUAGAAAGAGUAAUUAUUUCUCAAUUAUUUUUAAAAGGAUAUUUGCCAGGCAUACUUCCUCAAAGUGAAAAUGUCGCAUAUUUACCCUUCUAAAUUUUAAAAUAUUUCUUAUUUUGUAAAUUUUAAAUUUUAAACUAUAUUUCUGAAGCGAUCAACGCUUUAAUGAUUAAUAAUGACAAUCACAGCAAUAUUUAUAAGAGAGAGAUCAAUUUAUGUUGCUUUCUAUUAGGAAACCAAGAGUAUUUAUUUUGCUUUAAUAAUAGGGAAAACUUCAAAAACCCCCCUUGUGGUUUCGUAGUUUCUCACUUUGCCCCCCUGUGGUUUAAAAUGUAUCAAUUUGCCCCCCUGUGGUUUCUUUUUUCUCUUUUUCUUAUCAAUUUUAUUAUUUUUUUUUUAAAUCAGUUAUAAAGUUAAAAUUAAAGGGUACUAAAGUGAAUAUUUGAUAAAUCUAGAUGGGUAUCUGAAGUUUUUUGUGUAUAAUUUAAUUAAAUAUUAACGAAAAAGCAACCGAAAAGAUAAAAACGAAACCACAAAGGGACAAUUUGAUACAUUUUAAACCACAGGGGGGCAAAGUGAGAAACUAUGAAACCACAGGGGGGGUUUCUGAAGUUUUCCCUUAAUAAUAAAAUCGAUAAAGGUAAAAUAAUCUUUUUAGGUAAACUAUGAUAUCUUUUGAUAUAUUUAUAAAUUUUUAAAGUUUACAUACAUAUAUAUUUUUCUAACUUUGUAAUAGUAUAUUUCUAUUUAUUUUGUUUUCUACUAUACUACCAGUACAUGACUAAGAGGAAGGAUAUGACCAAUUACUUUAAACAAAAAUACUACAUAAUCUUUUUCUCUUUAAUCCUAUCAUCUAUGCGUCCAAAAACAAUAAUUUAUCUGUUGAACUUGUCACAUUUUUGUUCGGCCAAACUUAUCCUAUUAUCGCUCAACUUCAAUUAGACUAUAUAGAAGAAAACAAAAAAAAAAGAAAAUGAAAAAAAAACAAAAAGGUGUAGGGUGUGAAAGUGCCUAAUGGAGCCAUUAAACUUUCUACUAGUGUUAGGUGUAGUAGUUACUGCUUUUAUAACUCUGCACACAUUAAUCAACAUAGAGAUUUUAUUUUCUUUGAAUCUUUUAAUGCCAAACAGAUUUUACUUAGAACAGCAGAAACUUUUUGAUAUAUAUACUAUUUUUACAUCUAAAAAAGUCGUCAGCACGGAUACCUUUUAUUGAACUUUUCAAACUUAUUGACAGCUACUCGUGUAACAAUCACUGACUCCAUGGUUGUUAAAUUAGAGAAAAAUUAUAUUAAGCAUGUUGAAGCCAAUUUUUUUAAGCCAAAAUUUUUAUAUUAACACUCAAACUUUUGAGUGGAGAUUUAACAUUUAAUUAAUUAAAAAAAAUAAAAUGUUUUUUAAUCAUCAUUUGCUAAUAAAGAAAAUUAUUGCUCACAAUCUGCGCAUUCAUACACCACGCAUCGACCGACAUGGGAUUGUGUUUUUCAUUCCAACUUAGAAGUACAGUUUAAACUUUGUACAUAUAAGAGAAAUUAUUACUUGCGCCAAAUCUAUAAUUUAAAUAUGAUACACUACUAAAAUUACAUCAGAAUCUAAAUUAUUAGAUGUGCUUUAUAACAUUUAAAUUUUUUUAUAUUAGAAAAUUUAAUUUUUCUAUAUUGUUGAUUUUUCGGAGUACAAUUUUUAAAUAAUGAGCAUGCGGUGUACGGAGUGUAAGUGUACACCCGGUGCAGGCAUAAACUAAUUCAACAACUGUUUUUUUUUUUAUAUAUAUUUUUUUCUUAUUCCGCUUCGCCGCGUGCGGUUAAUGUUCCCAAUCUCGUUUGGUUUUCUCACGUCGGCUCCCGGAGAGAGCGCCACGUGUCAUGUACGAUGAUAGAGGAUUAAGCGAACGUGAAUCCGCAUAGAGAGAGCCGUGUGGAAAUUAACCGCGCCGCGUUGGUUGGUGGGACCGCCACGUGGUCAAAGUUUGUGCGUCCACGCGGCGGGUUCGGAUUGGGCCAAAUUGGACGGGCGUGGUCAAAGCAACGCGAGGAUGCGAAAGCGCUACGAAAACGUUAUAUAAUAAUUGGAAAUAAAAAUGUGGAAGAUACAAAUAAAAUUGUAUUUAUAUUUCAUAGUUACUUGUUUUCAUUGUUAUAAUCAUAUAAAAAAAUUUAACUAUAGCAGUUGAAAUUAUAUACACAUUGGUUGUAGUUUCAACUGUUCGAAAUUAUUUUCGAUUGUAAAACCUAAAUAUCCACUUAUGUUAGUACACCAAAUUCGCACGUAACUCUAUUUUCUAAAAAGUACUAUAAUUGACCUCGCCGUGGGUGACGUCGAAGUUAUUUAUGAGAGAGAAAAAAAUACAAAAUAAAAAAAAUAGUUGUUGUAAUUUUUUUAUCUUUUUAUGUGCUAGUGCCUAUUGCCUAGUGUGUAAAAUUUUAGUAAUAUAUAUAUAAAACAGUGUUAUUAUUACAGUUUCGAAUCUAUUAACUUCCUAUCAAAUAAAUAGCAUUUUAAAAACAAAUUCUCUCAAAUUUUAGUCCAGUUAUAUGUUAUUUUAAUAUAAAGAUCAUUUACGGACAAACAAACAAACCCUAAACAGGAUUUCUUUUCUACACCCUUCUUUGCCAUAAUCAAUUUUACUUGUUUUAUUUUAAAAAUAUAAAAUGGACUGGUCGCCAGGAAACAAACACACUCUUCUGUACCCUUCUCAUAAAAAAAAAAAAGAAAAAAAAUCAUAUUAUCAAAUUAUUAAAUAUUAAAAAAAAUAUUUUUGGUGCUCAUUUAAGUAUAAUAAAGCUAAAGGACCAUAAGUAGUUAAUGUUACUAAAGGCAAUGGUAAUAGUUAAUACUACUACGCAAAACAGUAUUAGAGUGAAAGUAUAUAUAAUAAUUGAUCCAUAGCUAUAUAUACAAUAUGAUAUUACGUAUAAAAAUAAUAAAAUAUUUUUCAUCAUAAAUUUCAAACAUAGUCUUUUCUAAAAAAAAUACAAUAAAAAUUUAUAAUUUUUUUUUAAAUUUUUUUUAGAGGUUUAAAAAGAUUACUUUUAUAAAGUUUUAUUCUUUAUCCAUAGUGGUGAUGUAGUCCUGAGAUCAAAUUUGGCACCAUGCCCUUGUCACUUUUUAUUAUUCCACAUUAUGCAUAUUCUCAUCCAUUUCUCAUGUUCUAAACUUUUAUAAUAAGUGUGUAGGACCCUGAUCCAUUGUACCAUUCCACAUUAGUCCUUUUCUAGGCAUUUUAUAAUAAAUGGUUGGGGCCCUGAUCCAUUAUUUUAUCUUUGGGGAUGCAUGGUACUUGUUUAUCAUAUUUAUUUUUUGCUAAAUUAUAAAAAUUUUCUAUAAAUAUUCAUUUUUGUACUUUCUCUUCUCUACUUUUUAAAAAUUUAUAUUUUGUCUUCUUAAAAUUUUAAAAAUAUUUUCGAAAGAUACGACGUUAACAGAGAGGGCAAAAUGAGCAAAUUGUCCUAACUUCUUCUAUAAAUUUUUUUUUUCUUAAUAUAUAUUUGUCAUUUUGAAUGGUAUUUACAGUAUAAAUUAUAAAAAAUGGACGGAAUAAUGAUGGAACUGAAUGGAGGGGGACUAAAUGCAAUGAUUUGAAAUGUUGAAGGAGUAAAUUAUAAAUUUUUAAAAAUUAGGAAGGAAAAGUAAAAAAUCAAGUUUUUAUAAGAAGGUUUUCUCUAAUUUAGCUUUUAUUUUAUAUGCCAAUCUACUCACACAAACAGUUAAAAGUGUCAUAUAAAUUUACCAAUAGAUUAAUAAACUACAAUUCUCUUGAAAACCAAAUAUUGAAUAUCAUUCUUGUAAGAUCACAAGAUUCAAUAAUUUAUCCUUUCCUAUCCACUAAUUUCUCAAAUUAAGAGCACGUUUGAUACCCAAGGCUACUGGCCUGAAAAAGAGUUGAAAGAAAAUAUAUAUAAAUACUACAACGUAAUCGAAUCAUUGUGAAAGAGUUGAAAGAAAAUAUAUAGUGUUAGGAUUCGUCCACUUUGGAACUUAUCUAAAAUAUUUUUAAUUCAUAUGGGAUAAGAAAUAAAUAUUUAUAAUUAUCUAUUAUAUUCCUAGUCCACUUGGGAUAAAGAAUAAAUCUAACAGAUAAAUCCUAAUCUGUUUAAAUCUCUAUCUAUCAGAGAUUUAGUUAGAAUAUGAUUAGGAUUAAUGUCUCCCUUAUGGCUUAUAAAUAUUUGAGGUAUUGNUAACAGAUAAAUCCUAAUCUGUUUAAAUCUCUAUCUAUGUGAGAUUUAGUUAGAAUAUGAUUAGGAUUAAUGUCUCCCUUAUGGCUUAUAAAUAUAUGAGGUAUUGACCAUAUACGACACACGAAAGACAACAAAAAAAAAAGAAUCAUCUCUCCAUAAAAAAUUCUUUUUUGGGUUCGCUCUAGGGCACCAUCUGAAACCCUAGAGAUUUGGGCGGUGUGCGGCGAUCGAUUCUAGUAGCCGGAUUGCAACGAGUAAGAACAACGUGCAACAAAUUGAGACAGAAUAUUGGCGGAUCAACAAGUUCGUAAAACAAGACGAGAUUCAAUCCUGAUAAUCGUAAUACAUUCCGCGAAAAAGAGGUAUAUAAAAAUCUAUAUGAUUUUUGCGAACUAUUUAUUUGGAUAUUUAAUUAUUUUAUCCAACAUAUAGAAAUACUACAAUGUAAUCGAAUCAUUGUGAUCUACGGAGAUUACCCUAUUUUAUUGUACAUAUACAAUUUUUCUGUAAUUCCAAAGCGAAUCUACAAUCAAUCCAAAGCGAAUCUACAAUCAAUCGAUCGAUCAAUGAGGAAUGCAAAUGGGCCGGACGGGCCUACUGGACCAGGAGGUCAAUGCAAAGAACGAAAAGAUUGGAUCUAACUUUUGAUCCGUAACAGUUUUUAGUACUUGAAAUUGUUUUCAGUUAGAAUAAGGCUAAGGGCACGUUUGCUAGCGAGGCUCAUCUAAUGCUAUUAGAGAAAACAAAAUUGGGGCAAAACUAUAUAGGAUAUAUAUACUUUUUCUGUUUUUCAAUGAUACCAUAAAAAAUAUAUCAUGAGCCACUCACUACGAGAAUUGGAGUUGACAUUAAAAUUAUUUUCAAAAGCGAAAAUUAUUUUCCCUCGAAAAAGUAUUUUGUGGGAAGUCAAAACAAUUGAAAAAGUCCAUUUUAAAUUAUAGAAAUUGUAUUCCAUUUGCCAUGCACAAGCAGAGCAUACACCACUAUAUACAAAAAAAAGACAAGAGAGAGAGAGAGAGAGUUCAACUCCAAAUAUUUACUUUUAUUUUCAGGCUACAAAACAACUCAUGACUCAAAAAAAAAAACAAAAGUAGAAAAAGAGAAAACCCAAAAAAGAUUUAUUAUAGAGAGAGAAAUUAACACAACUCACAGUGGAUGUUUAAUGCCCCUACUAUUCAACAUCACACACACACAUUCUCCGGGUCUGGCACUAAACUAGUCCUCCAAUAUUCAGUGGCGUCCUCCCGAUCCGAAUCCAGACCCCUGCCCCUCUCCGUACCCCGACCCGGAACCCUCUGACCCAGCAUAUGAACCAGCAUUAGACCCGGCGUAUGAGCCUGAACCCGAACCUGAACCAGACGCAGAGGCCGAACCAGAGCCGGAACCAGAACCAGAACCGGAACCAGACACCGAGCCAGAGCCCGACCCGGACCCAGAUGCAGAGCCCCCGUCACCAACACCGAGCCCAAGCCCUAGACCGAGACCGAGCCCAAGCCCUUGCCCGAGCCCCGGACCGCCGCCGAGGUUCACACUAAGAUCCUUUCGAGCUGUGGGGCGGCUUUCGGUGCUAACCAUGGCCAAGCACAAGAAGCAAAGAAGCAAAGCCAAACCAGAAGCACUUCCACAAGCCAUUUCUUACACUCUUCUUGCAAUGCUACUUCUUCAGGGAAUCCUACAAUAUUUCCCAAGUGUUGUUGACUCAAAUAGCUACAUAGGAGAGCUAUUUAUAGGCCAUUUUGUGCAUCUAAAACCAGGGGACAACACCAUGCAUGCGAAUUAUCUUCAACCGAAAGCAAAGUGCGUCAAUUAUUCUUUGUAUGCGGCCAUGAUUUGUACGUACAAAAGUUAGUGGCGCACUACUAGUUAAUGGGUUAAGAGUUAGAGAGAAAAUCACUUAGGUUGACACAUGUAUGAACAUGAGAAGGGUUGGGUUACAUUAGAGAUUGAGAUUAGUUCAGUUGAGUCACUAAAAUCUUCGGAUUUUGCACAUGGAUGUAUGCAUGAUAAAGAAUAAUUGUUUUUUGCUUUUUUUUUUUUUUAUUAGGCAAGAUAAGCUUAACACAAAAGUUAACAAAAAUGGCUAGCUAGUUCUUUGAAUUAAAUAUGAUAAGACGGAAUCGAGAAAGAAAAAAGAAAACAACUAAAGCAUACAAAUAAGUACGAGAUAAGCCUUUAAUUGUUACUUUUUAGAGUAAACAAGCUAUUUCAAAAGCUAUACUAAACAAGCACUUAGUUUUAAUUCUUAACUAUUACAUACUCUUUAGAGUAAACAAGCUAGUGCAAAAGGCUAGCGCUACACUAAACAAGCACGCACUUUAAAUAGAGUUUAGACAUAUGGAAUAAAAGAAGUUUGGCUUAGCUAGAGGCAUGUAUAAAAAUCCCUACGAAAAAAAAAAAAAUUCUAAAAUGUCAAUUACAUGGGUAGUAACAAAGCAUUAGAGAACCACAUGUAGUGAUCUUAUUGCCUUUCUUUUUGGACCAUGCAUGGGUUCUUUAGUGAGGUGGGCAUGAAGUUUGAAUUAAGCUUUAUAGCAUGUUAUGAUGACACAACCACGAUAGAUUUCUCAACUACUCCCACUUCUUGUUGGCAUCAUCAUGCGUGCAUGAAACUUCUAAAAUUUCUUCUUCAUCAAACUUCUUAGUUUGGCGACAAUUCGAGAGUAAGGCUUCAUUUAGAAUUGCAGAAAAUAUAAUAUAUUAUGUGCAAUAGAAAAAUGUAGGGUAAAAUAUAUUACGUGUUUUUAUAAAAGAAUAAUAUGCAUAUAUAUAGAUCACAUAGAUUCAGUUAAGGUAUAAUUCCCGUGACUUGAUUGGAAAAAAUGAUUAAUAUAGGUUUAUGUAAUUUUUUUACCAAUUUGUUUAAUCUAAUAUCACUAAAUAGCCUCUCUAGCAAAUUAUUCCUCUUACUAGUGAAAGAUUUAUAAAUUAACAAAAAACAAAGGUAAAUUGAAGGGUUUACAUAAGUAUUUUGAUUCAAAUUCCGUGGCUUGGUGUCUGUUUGGCCCAAAUAUAGGGAGUAAAUUAAUUUAGAGAUGCAAAUAGAUCCGAGUUAGCUAAACUCUCAUCCAGAUCCAUUUUGAGUGGGGCGUAAGUGAGGGCUAAAAAUAAAGAGAAAAAAACUGCUCUGAGUCCGUCUUGAUCCGCUAAAGAAGUGGAGCAAAAGGCGGGGGACUCCUUCCUUCCCUUAAUUAAUCUCUCCCGAUCCACUAAAAAUUCACUUCCACUCUGAUCCAUCUCGAAUAAAACAGUAAAUCAGAAUAAAAUAUAAGAUAAAAAUUAAUCAAUCCGUCUUGAAUCUACGCCAAUCCACCAAAAAAAUAAGGAUCGUAGAGGAAGUCUACUAUGUAACACUUAUACCACAUCAUCACCACAUCAUCUAUCUCCAGCCAAUUAUAUUUCUCUUUUUGAGAAAAGUACAAUAAAAAUAUUUUUCUGAAAGCUAUAAUGGGAUAGGUGAACUACAUGAGAGCUUUUUAAUUGAUUGGGGGCACCAUGUCAAUAAUAUAAGCGUUGUAUUCUAAAAUUUUUGUCUAGAUCCUCUUCCUCUACAUUUCUAGAAGUAAUGAUGGUGAUAAAAAUAUUAUUUAAAUAGUAUUCAUAGGAAAAGCCAAAACCACAAUUUAGUUUGAAAUAUACUUUCUAAAUACAGCUAUUUUAAAGCUUUAUAACCCUACUUCUCCAUUGCUAAAUACAUAAUUGAAUCACUUCCCGGAAGGAGACUUCCACCACCAUCUUAAUGUAUUGUAUUCAAAUUUCUUUGGACCUCUAAAGCAUCAAAACAAUGGCUUUUUAGAAACGUAAAGAAAAUACAUUUCUAAACUAAACUUUAAUUUUGACACGUGUACAGAAAUAUAAAGACCAAGAGCUCUAGUAAUAAUAACCGGACUUAAGUAUUUUAAACUAUUGGUUUGAACUCAACAAGUUAUUGUUAUUAGUUGGUUAGAUAGUUACAGCAAUUACCUUUCAUAUGGUUUGACGGUUGUCAUCAUCAUUAUAUAGUAGGGGAGAUUAGAAAUCGUAUUUCUAACUAAACCAAAGCAUCUAUAAGCUAUAUUAACUCUAUCUAUAAGCUAUAUUAAUUCUAUCUAGGUUUUGUUAGAUUGAUCUAUUCAAUGAUUAGUUUGAUUUUCGUAUUUUUCGUCGGUUCGAUCUAAUCUUAAGGAUUAACAGAAUAGCACGAUUCUCUCUGUGUGUGUUUAACGGCCACUUUAGAAGGUUUUUCUAUCCCUAUUGGAUAGAUGUACAAAUUUUCAUUACGUACACCCGGUGCACUAUGUAAGCCGUGCGCCAGUGGUUAAGGUGUUAAAUAUACUUAAAUUAAUUGGAUAAGGGCAAUUAGAUUGUAGGUUAUAUAUCUAUUCAAAUUUGAGCCAUUUAAAUGUGAAAAAUUCUUUGAUUUAACUUUUGAACGUGUCUUUUUCUAUAUGUGCAUUGUAAAUGUUUGAUCAUGCCCUAAGUUGUUUAAUUUGAAAUUAGAGCCUUUUGAGGUUGAUUUUUAUAAUCUAUACUACUUAUAAAAGAUGGAGUUUUUAAAUUUUUUUCUUUCCCAAAAUAUCGGUCCCUAUUAAUAUAGUAGUGUAGAUUAAAAAUUUUAAAACUCUCUCUUUUAUAAGUGGUAUAGAUUAUAAAAAUCAACCUCAAAAGGCUCUAAUUUCAAAUUAAACAAAUUAGGGCAUGAUCAAACAUUUACAAUGCACAUAUAGAAAAAGACAUGUUUAAAAGUUAAAUCAAAGAAUUUUUCACAUUUAAAUGGCUCAAAUUUGAAUAGAUCUAUAACCUACGAUCUAAUUGCCCUUAUCCAUUUAAUUUAAAUAUAUUUAACACCUUAACCACUGGCGCACGGCUUACAUGGUGCACCGGGUGUGCGUAAUGAAAAUUUGUACACCUAUCCAAUAGGGAUAGAAGAACCUUCUAAAGUGGCGGUUAAACACACACAGAGAGAAUUGUGCUAUUCUGUUAAUCCUUAAGAUUAGAUGGAACAGGCGAAAAAUACGGAAAUCAAACUAAUCAUUGAAAAGAUCAAUCCAACAAAAAUAUCCAGCUCCCAAAAUGCUCUACUAUAUCUACCCAAAAAUCUCCCCCCAACACUACCCCUAUAGUAUGAGCACUCCACCCCCCUCCUCUUCCGCUACCGCGCCCUCUCCUCCUCCCUUUCCUCCCCAAAUGAAGCGCAUCCUACGCCUUCUCGCCGUCCUCGCCUCCUUCGUCUCCCUCCCCGCACUCGCAUGCGGCGUGUGGCUCCUCGUGACCCGUGACUACGACUGCGAGGACCUGCUUGUGACGAGCGGCAUGCGCGUAGGCGUCGGGGUGGGGCUCCUCGGCAUGUUUGUCGUCAGCAAUGCAGCCGGGUACUCGACCGUGCGGAAGGGGGUGGCGCUGGCCGGGUACGCGGUGCUGGCGGUGGCGCUCGUGGUGGCACUCACCAUGGGGCUCGUGCUCGUCGGCGUGUACAAGAUGGAGGCCCGACAAGUCCCCGCCUCGCCCGGGUGGUUCCAGACGCGCCUCGCGAGCACCGGAAACUGGAAUGAGGUGAAGUCGUGCUUGUACAACAAUCGCAUCUGCAGCGACUUGGCGUACCGCACCGGCGGCCUCUCGGCGCACGAAUUCGGCAAGAUCAAGCUCUCUCCGGUUGAGGUAUUACCACGUUCUCCAUGCAUGCAUGGAACGUACGUCCAUGACUCACAUGCAAUGUUACGGUUUCGUAGUUUAGGCGCAUUUUUGGCUUAGCUUCUGCUCAAGUAUUUGUCAACUUAAUAAAUGUGAAUUGACAACUUAAAAGCUACUAUUUUUGGUACAACGAGUUGUUUUUUUCUUCUUUUUUUUUUUGCCCUUUUGUUGUUGAUUUAUUUAGAUAGAAGCAAUAAUCUGAUGCUUCUGAGUUUAGGCGCAUUUUUGGCUCAGCUUUUGCUCAAGUAUUUGUCAACAAAGUAAGCAAUGCAAGUACGAAUUUAAAACUAAAAAGUUUCUAUUUUUGGCACAACGAGUUGUUUUUUAUUUCUUUUCCCCCUUUUUGUUGAUCCAUUUAGCACCAGAGUUAGUGCUUUUCGCAACUGUAAUAUUGCUGUAGAUAUAUAGGAGUAAUGAUCUGGUGCUUCCUAUAUACUUUUUUGUAGUUUAGGCACAUUUUCACCUUAACUUCUACCCAAGUAUUUAUCAACAAGUUAUAAAUAAAUAAGCAUGAAGUUUAAACUUAGAUGCUACUAUUUUUGUCACAAAGAGUUUUUUUUUUUUUUUUCUUUUUUAUUGAUCCAUUCACCGCCAGAGUUAGUGCUUUUUGCAACUGCAAGUGCUUUUGUAAAUGAGUCUUUUACAUAUUUGUAACAUUUUGCACAAUAAAAGCAUCCUUGCCAUGCAGAAGCAUGACCAAAUAAGCCCUAAUUUUUUCUUGCGUACUAAAUCUUAAUCAUUUUUUAAAAAUUUUGUUUGGUUACGAAUAAGGCGGGAUGUUGCAAACCGCCGGACGAAUGCGGGAUGGCGUACGUGAGCGCGACCGACUGGAUAUUUGCAGAGAACAACGACUACGCAAAAUACGCCGGAGGCAAGUACAGGCCCGAUUGUCGUGCGUGGGGGAACCGAGCCGAUCAGCUGUGCUUCAACUGCGAUAUGUGCAGGGACGGGUUCGCGAAGGCCGUCACGAGUCGAUGGAGGAAGGUCGGGAUCUUCCUUAUCGUGAUUUCGGUGCUCCUGAUCGCAGUGCACGCGGCACGGUUCAUCAUCUUGAUGUCAAAGAAGUAGAAUUCAUCUUUUGUUAUAUGUUUUAGCUAUGGUACAUUUUGGCCGAAAUGUAUUGUGAUCAAUAUCAUUCAAAUUUAUGUAGGUCAUUUUUUGAAGUAGGACACUGAAGUUUAAUUUGUUCUAUUUAAAUUAGACACCUCCUCAAUUUGUUGUUUAUUUUGAUUCAUAUAUAUUAUGGGUAGAAAUUGGGUGCUAUUAGAGCACGAAAACCUCAAUGCUCCUAAACUAUUUUCGACGAUGGGACUUGCGAAUUCCUCAAUGCUCCUAAACUAUUUUCGACGAUGGGACUUGCGAAUUGACGAUCAGUUCUGUUUUACUUAAUCUAACAUAUUUGAACUAUUUAGAAAAUAAUUUUUACAGAUUUUCUCCAAUAAAUCCAUUUGCUUAUGGAGUAAAUUAGCAUGAUACCAUUUGUUAUACAAUAGAUUCGCAUUUAUAUAUUAAAAUGUUAGUAACUUAUCUACAUUUGAAUGCCAUAUAUAUUACUUAAGCUUAAUUAAGAAACUGACACCAUUAUAUAAUUAGUCUAAUACAUAAAUAUAGAAUCAUUAGUAUUUCAUAUUGAGGUGUCAAGGUAUAGUACGUUAAUGAUCAGCUCUAAUUGAUAAAAGUCUAAUUCUCUCAAUUAGUAAGAAUAUAUAAUCAUCUGUAUAGGAAGAAAGGGUAAUUGCGCUUUUCCGUAAACUAUGAGGUCCGUGACACUUAAUUUGGUCCUCAAUCUUCAAUUUGUUGCUAGCAAACUGGCUCGAAUUUUUAGAAUUAUUAUAAUCAAAUUCCAUAACUCAAUUUAAUAAGCUAAUUAAUAUUCACAAAUUAUUGACAUAGAAGUGAUAUAGUAUAUUAAUUAUUAUUACUUCAUCAAUGACAAUACUUUCACAGUAUUUCUAUAUUAAUAGUUUGUCAUAUAUUUAGUCAACAAAAUUAGAUUGUAGAAUUUAAUUGCAAUAAUUUUGAAAGUUCAAAUCAUAAAUUAUUACGAAUCAAAGUUUGAGGACCAAAUGAAAUAUACAUAUCUUAUAGUUUGGGGACCAAAACUGUAAUUUAUCCUAGAAAAAAAAAAAGUUUCAACACACCUAUACAGGUAGUAAUUAAAGUGGAUAUACACCAAAAUUUGUUAUUUUAAAUAUCUUUUAACUUUUUAUUGUUAAUAAUUUACCUAUAAUCUCUCUCUCUCCUAGUACUAUGAAUUAAAAUCUCUCUCUCUUUCUCUCUACCCUAACUAUCUCUAUAACUUCGUAAGUUACUAACAAAUUCGUGCUUAUCUAAUUAUCUAGGGUAUAUUCUAUAUAUAGUAUAUAAAAAAACAGCAACAAGCAUAAAUUUUAAAAUUUUAAAAAAUUUGAUACUUUGGAGGGAACCCGAGUUACAAUUUGUAUUUGGUAACUGUUUGACUAUAUUUUGUUCGAAAAACAAACUGUUUCAAAAUAACGACUUUUAUGCUUUGAACUAAGGCUGUUUGAUAUUAAGACCCAUCUGACGCUAUUAGAUAAAAUAGAGUUGGGAUAAAAGCAUAUGGGAUAUGCUUCUGCGUUUUUAAUGGCAUCGCAAAAAAUAUAUCGUAACCAACUCAUCGCGAUAUGCGGAACGCAAUAUUACGUACGGAAACAAACAGAACAUUUUCCUUCGUACUUUCUCACCACACGUAAUGCAAUCUUCCCACAAUCCCAAACAAAGCCUAAACUAACGUGCAUAGUAUGAAAAAAGAAAAAAAGAAAAAAAAAUCAAAGAGGGCCAUUGUGUUCGGCUGGGUAUUCGACUUGCUCUAGCUCGGAUCGUAAUUAAAUAAGCCGAGCUUGGGUUACUGGGGUCACCUGUAUUAGGCUUCAAAAGCUCAUAUAUAUAUAUAUAUAUAUAUAUAUAUAUAUAUAGAGAGAGAGAGAGAGAGAGAGAGAGAGAGAGAAAACUAGGUUGGAACACUAUCAAUAGCACCAAACUAUUGGUGCUAUUGAUUUUUUAGCCCUUAAAUUGAAAACUAGGUUGGAACACUAUCAAUAGCACCAAACUAUUGGUGCUAUUGAUUUUUUAGCCCUUAGAUUGAAAAAUGGAUGGUUAGGAUGAUGUGGGCCCCCUAGGGUUGAGUGAGUGGUUGGUUGAAUAGUAUAAUCUAACGAAUAAAAAUAAUCAUAGGGUUAAAUCUAACGGCGGAAAACUCGAUAACACCAAAUUCUUUGUGCUAUCGAUAGUACCCCAGCCGUCCGGCUAUGGUGCUUGUAAAUUUUUUACCGUUAGAUCUAUAUCUUUGAUCAUUUUCACCUGUUAGAUUAUAUUAUUCAACCAACCACCCACUCAACCCUAGGGGGCCUACAUCAUCCUAACCGCACAUUCCUUAAUCCAAGGGCCGAAAAUUUACGAGCACCAAUGACUUGGUAUUUUUAAAAGUAUAGGAGCUCAAUUCUAGCUAUAUAUAUCAAUUCAUAAACUAAUUUUCUUAGUAUUAUGCUAUGGCAUUUUAUACAUUUAUUUUGUAUAUUAAACUAUAAAAAAUAUUCUCGUGUCAAGUUCUAAAUAAUGUUCUAUGAAAAUCAAAUCGUAAAUUGCUCUAUAUCAGAAAUUUCAAAUAGCUCGUUUAGGGCUCGCAUUCGCUCGAGCUCGACUCGAAUUAAUUUUAAGCUGAGCUUUAGCUUGAAUUUAGCUCAAAACUAUUUUCAAGCCAAACUUGAGCUAAGUUAAGCUCACUCGAGCUCGACUUGCUUUCAUCCUUAAUUGCACGCAGUCAAAAAUGCAAUAAAAAAAUAUUCUAUUUAUUUCUGUAAGUGACAACUACUUAAUCAAAUAACACUUGUUCAAUUAGAAUACACUUUUUGUAGUUGCAAUGAUAAACAUUAUAAGCCUGUUUGUUUGGGUAAAAUGGAGAAGGGUGAAGUCGUUUUCGGCCAUAAACGAUUACUUCUAUUUGGUUCGCAGUAUUAAAGAUAUGAUCGAAACUCGAAUUAUCUAAAACAGUAUAAUUGACUUUGGCCUCCCUGGGCCGAAGUCAAUUAGAGUGAAAAAAGGUGAAAAAAAUAAUAAUACAAUGGGCAAUACUAGUUAUAUUUAAAUAUAUUUAAUUGUAUAUGGUACUUAUUACUCUUUUAAUUUAAAAUAUGAUAAAAUUUGAUUAAUUAAGUUUUAGUAUUUUUUUAAUUUAGUUUGUAUAUUUAAAAUGCAAUGAAAAUUGCUUAGUUAAGUAUUAAUUUUUUUCUACUUUAUAAUUUUAUUAUUGUAUUAUUAUAAUUUGUGUAUAAAAAAUAAUUUAGUUGUUUCAGAUUAAAUUUUUUAAUUAUAUAAGAAUAUAAUUACAUUAUUUUUAUUUAUUAAAUAAUAAUUUAUUAUUUAUUAAGUUAUUUACACUACAAUAAAAACGGUAUAUAGCGACACUUUUAAAUAUCGAUAUAGGUUAAAAAAAAAUGCUGCUGGCUAAAUUACCGACACUUUUUAAAAGUGUUGCUAAAUGUGGGGUCGCUAUAUGUGAGGCCACCAUAAUGUUUGGCACCCACUCCUCCAGCGACCCGUGGCGGAGGAACACAUGGCGACAGUAAUCCUCUACGGUCCCUGCGAGAUUCUCACGGCCGAACUCCAGCCACCGGAACCCUAUCUCGUCGGCUGCGGUGGCGGAGGAGAAGUGGAAAUGAUGAUUAAUUUUUCUUUUUCUUUUUUUUACUUUUCUAUUUGUAAUUGGGCCCGAGUGGGGUGGAUGGAAUUGGUUGAGUAGAGGAACUUUUUAUUUUUGAUUAGAUUGGACUUUAUAUUUAGGACUUAAUAGAUUUUUUUAAAAAGUUUUGGCAUAAAUGGGACACUUAUACAAAAGUGUCCCAAAAAUGUAUCCCUAUAAUCUAAUUCUGUUGUAGUGUUAUUAUUUAUAUAUAAAUUAUUGUUUUAUAUUAUGCAAUUUCUGCCAAACAAACAGUAGAACAGAAAAAAUUUUACUUUCAUAGCUAUGAAAACAAACAGUGAGAGAAAAGUAAUUUUCACCGAACUUCACUUUAACUCAAAAUUCAGUUUCAGUGAAACAAACAGGGUCUAUGCGACAGGCUCUAAGUUAUGAGAUGGCCCAUUCGACAUUACAAGUCAAAUGAUCCACACACACACUACGCAUUACGUUCUAGUGCGUGGGUCCAAAUGAUAAAAAGGGCCCUUUUAACGUGUCACAAGCAAUAAAAAAACUAAGCCAUCAAAAUUGCUCCACUAUAGAAAAAUUCAAUAUCCUCCACAAGUUUUUUUGCCACGCUAACCCAGUUUACUUUUUUAGUGUACCAAUUCAAAUCCCUCAACCAACUCAAACACUUGCAUAUGACUCGUUUUUGAAGCAUAUUUAUUGCUCCUUAAUUUCUCACAAUCCAUAACAUAGAGAUCAUAAAACAAAUAUACAGUGUCACUUCAUAAACAUGGCUUAUGUGAAAGGUGUUUUAGCCAUUGCUAUUUUCGUCGUGGCUUCUUGUGUUAUACAUGUCGAGAGUCGGGUCGCGAGGAAAGGCCUAGGCAUAAGCAUCGGUGAUGGCGGCGGAGUCGGUAUCGGUGCCGGAACAGGAAUCAGUGUGGGCAUAGGAGAUGGUAGUGCCUCCGGUUCUGGUUCGGGCUCAGGGUCUGCAUCCGGGUCUAGUUCUGGCUCUGGUUCCGGAGCUAGCUCAUCUGCCGGUUCGGGUGCUGGUUCAUCUGCUGGAUCAGGUGGAUCGUAUGCUGGGUCCGGUGCAGGGUCCGGCGUUGGUUCGGGCUCGGAACACGGUCAAGCGCACGGAUCGGGCCAAGGGCAAGGGUUAGGUUCGGGUUCAGGUUCGGGUUCAGGGCAUGGUGAAGGCUACGGAGAGGGUUAUGGCUCGGGUGAGGAUUCUGGGUCAGGUUCAGGUCAUGGUGAAGGAUACGGGGAAGGUUACGGGUCAGGGUCAGGGUCCGGGUCGGGUAACGGUUCUGGAUAUGGUUAUGGCGAAGGGCGCGGAUAUGGAUCUGGAAAUGGUAGUGGAAAUGGUAAAUACUAAAUAGAGGCCUAAGUUUACCAUCCUAGUUUUUGGGCCACCUCUAUGUACUUAUAAAUAAUGAGAUGGUGAAUAAAAAUAAAUAGUUAGUGAGUUACCCCAAUAAUUUAAUUACUUUGGAACAAAUUUAUAUAUUGCAUGAUAUUAACAUGAUGAAUCAACAUAAUGAAUAUCAUUAUAUUCUUCAACAGAAACUGCUUUAAUUGUGAUCCUCUUCACUUUCAAUUUUUCAGACUUAGAUGAUUGUAGUUACAAAAGCUAAAAAAAUUUAUCAAAUUAAUUAAUAAUUAUAUCAGAUAUAAGAGUUUUAGUUACUUUUCGGCACAUAAAAUGGGAACAGUUAAAUAGCUAAUAGCGUCAUUAACUUAAAUAAUUUAAUAUUCUUAGUCGAUACACUACAACAGAAUUAGGUUAUAGCGAUACAUGUUUAGGACACUUUUGUAUAAGUAUCACAUUUAUGCCAAAACUUAAAAAAAAUCCUACUAAUGCCUAAAUAUAAAGUCCAAUCCAACUAAAAAUAAAAGGGUACUCUACUCAACCCACUCCACUUAGCCUAUUCGGCCCGAUUACAAACAAAAAAGAAAAAGAAAAGAAAAAGAAAAGAAAAAUCAAUUAUCAUUUUCCCUUCUCCCCUCACUCAAUCGACUGAAAUCCUAGACGAAGAUCAUUUCCUCUCGUCCUCCUCUGCCACCGCAGCCAACGAGGUAGAGUUCCGGCGGUUGCUAAAUGCUUAAAUAAAUGUUGGUAAAUUAGCAGCACUCUUUUAGAUUAUAGCAACACUCUUUAACUGUCACUAUAUAUCUAGCGACUCCACAUAUAGCAACACUUUUCAAAAGUGUCGGUAAAUUUAGCCAGCAGCACUUUUUUGAUCUAUACCGAUAUUUAAAAGUGUCGCUAUAGACCGUUUUUGUUGUAGUGAUACUACGGAAAGAAAUAGUAAGUUUGAAUCUCUCCCGACUCCUUGUGAUUCUUUAGUACAAUUUAUAUGCGUACAAUAUUUGAAUAAAAUUUGAUCAGAGUACAAAAGUAAGUUUCAUUAAAAGAAUAAAUAAACACAAUAUUGUACACAUAAUAAUGUUUCUGAGAUCUGAUUCAUCAGAACACUCCUUAUUUAUAAUCUGAGUCCUAUGCUUAUAAAUUGGAUAGUCACGCAUUUUCCAAGCUCACAUGUCAGUGUUCGGUACAUUAAAUAAUUGUAAUUUAUUCAGAAUUAAGCAUAUAUAAAUAAGAGUACAAAUUAUAAUAAUAGUAGUAAUAAAUAACAUUAAAGUUCAAAACACCAAGUUAUACUCAACAAUAAAAACCUUAUUUUAUUCUGAAAUGGACACCCUUUAGCUUUUUUUUAAAAUUUGAAUUUUUAUAGUUAAUCAAGUUAAAAUAUUUGUUAAAUUUCAUAGAUCAAUUAGCUAUUAGCAGUUUGUUAUUCUAUUUUUUUUAAUUUAAACAAUUUUAAUAGAACUAUCAGCCAAUUCGGUAAAAUUUUAAUUUAUUUGGCCAAACUAAUUCAAAUUUUUUUUAAAACAUAAAAUGUUCAGAAAAUCUAAAUAAAGCAAAUAGUAAUUCAGAGAGCUAUUUCAAAAUGGCUUAUAUAUUUUCUGAACAUGUGUGUAACACCUGCUAAAAUUAAAAGUUAAAAAGAUCUCAUCAAUAGAUUAAAAAUAUAGUAGUAACUCAGAGGACUAUUUCAAAACCCCUAUAUUAAAAAUAUAGGGGUUCUGGAUCCAACGCAAACCUAUAUGAGCUUGAGAAUGUGAUAUAUAUGAAACUCAGUCAAACUAAAAGUUUAAACUUAUUAGGUUUGAACUCAUUAGUAGAUAUCAAUUUUUUACUCCUUUGUUAAGCGAACUCACUCAUUUGAGAUCAUGCGCUUUUUAAGUUGCGUUAUUCUGCUAUUCAUCAGAGCUCAUGCACCUGACCCGCGCCUUUCUGGUCCAACCAUAUUGAAUGCAUUAACCAUCUAAACGCAUGCGCCUAACCCAUGCCUCUCAAACCAAUUCGUUUUGGGGGGUGCCAAACCGUCAUAUCACGUAUUGUGACUUCUCUCAGCGAACAUGUCAUAUUCGUAAGAGCCACUCACUAACUUGAUCGCAAGUUUAAGCCUAUCAGGCUUGAACCCAUCAGUAUUCUUUACUCAUUUGUUAAGCGAACUCACUUAUCUGAGACUAUGCACUUUUUAAUCUGCGCCAUUCAAGAACUCAUCCGAGGCCAUGCACUUAG